rnacentral:lncRNA from 1 species
CAACCUUUCCAGUACAGAGUUUGAAGGAGAAGUCCCAUCCCAAGUCUCCCACCUGUCAAAAUUGGUUUCACUUGAUCUCUCCGUUCGGAUUGAUUACUGUGGGCAUGUUACAAUUGACAAACAUGCUCUGGAGGGACUUGUUCACAACCUAACCGAGGUCAGACAUCUGUUUUUGGGUGGAAUCAACAUGUCUUCUGUUAAUGCUCAUGUCUUCAAGAACCUAUCCUCUUCUCUAAGGUCUCUCAGUCUUGCUCAUUGUGAUUUGCAAGGAAAAUUCCCAAAAAACAUUUUUGAUUUGCCAAACCUCAAUCUCCUCAACUUGGGAGGCAACCAAAACCUCAAUCUUGAUCCUUUGAAGUUCAAUCGGAGCAGCAAUCUUGAACAUUUGGAUCUGUCGUGGAUGUCCUCCUCUACAGAAUCCAUUGAUUCAGUUGAUAAUCUACAGGCCUUAAAGUACUUAGAUCUAUCAGGAAAUUCUUUCUUUCAACGAUUGUCUGUCUCAAUCACAAAAUUAUCUUAUUUGGAGUACUUGAUACUUGAAGGCGCAAAUUUUUUUGGAGGAUUGCCUGACUCGAUGGGGAAUCUCGUGUCCUUGAAGUUUUUAGACUUGAGAUCAAACAAAUUGAGUGGACAAAUUCCAUUGUCAAUUCUAAACUAACGCAGUUGGAAUACUUGGAUAUAUCUGAAAAUUCAUUAGAAGGUUCCAUUCCAGAUGAGGUAACCGCUUUUCCUAAUCUAAUAUAUUUAUUCUUAUAUGACAAUUUACUCAAUGGAACACUUCCGUCAUGGUUGUAUACUGUUCCCUCCUUAAAGAUAAUAUAUCUCUUUCAAAAUCAAUUCAGUGGGCAUAUCAAAGAAUUCCAAUCCAAAUCACUAGAAUUGAUAGUGUUACAGAAUAAUAAACUCCAAGGUCCUCUUCCAUCUUCAAUAUUCCAACUUCUCAAUCUUACCCACCUCGUUUUAUCCUCAAAUAAUCUCAGUGGUGUCAUAGAGUUUCGCAUGUUCUCAAACCUUCCAAAUCUAGAAGUUCUCGACCUUUCAUAUAACAGCCUAUCCUUAACAUCUAAUACUACUUCUACUGUUAAUCUUACAAGCUUAAUUUUGUCAUCUUGCAAUCUUAGUGAAUUCCCCCAAUUUUUGAAAGGGCUUAAAAGUUUGGAAAGGUUAGACCUCUCUUGCAACAAAAUUGAAGGCAAGAUUCCACAGUGGAUGCAAGAGGUGGGGAAUGUCUCUUUGACUUACUUCAACGUAUCUCACAACUCUUUGACAGAAGUUGAGCACUUUCCAUGGAAGAAUAUUGCAUUUCUUGACUUAAGCUCCAAUUUGGUCAGUGGAAAUCUUCCGAUUCCAGCUUCGACGAUCAGAGUCUUUCUGAUCUCAAAUAAUAGUUUCAAUGGAGAGGUCUCUUCUUUAAUAUGCAAUGCCAGUUCUCUUCAAAUUCUUGAUUUGUCCCACAAUAACUUGAGUGGAACAAUUCCGCAAUGUUUCGGAAAUUUGAGCGACAGCCUUGAAUUCUUGAAUCUGAAGAAGAACAAGUUUUAUGGGACGAUUCCUCCAACAUUUGCAGAGGGAUGCCAGUUGACUAAUUUCAACUUAAAUGGAAAUCUGUUAGAAGGGCCUUUGACACCAUCCAUCCUUAAUUGUAGAGGUCUGGAAGUGCUAGAUCUUGGUAACAACAAGAUCAAUGAUACAUUUCCUCAUUGGUUGGGAAAUCUUCCAUAUUUGCAAGUUCUUGUAUUGAAGUCAAAUCAUAUGCAUGGUUCUUUGCGUGUCAAUAGCUCCAAGUCUAGCCCCUUUUUCUCUAAAAUCCAAAUUUUUGACCUCUCAAGUAAUUAUUUUUCUGGACCCCUACCUGUGAGGUACAUCAACAGCUUCAAGGCUAUCAUAAAUCUAGAGAAGAUUCGUAGUACAGUGUCGUACAUGGGGGUGAAUGGUCGGAAUGGUAGUGGCUUCUAUACCUAUUCCAUUGGAAUUGUUAUGAAAGGACAAGAUAUGGAAUUGGUGAAAAUUUUCACCAUGUGGAUGAUCAUUGAUCUAUCAAACAAUCAGUUUGAAGGGGGUAUUCCAAAGGUUAUUGGGAAGCUUAACUUACUGAAAGGGCUCAACCUUUCUCAUAAUAACCUUAGUGGUGGUAUCCCCACCUCAACAGGGAAUUUGACAAGUCUUGAAUGGUUAUGUAGUUUUAGAUGUUAAGGAUAGGCUGUUAUAUGAAAGGUCGCGAUGUUUUAGAUUUGGAAGGUUUGAGAACAUGCGAAGCUCUAUGACACCACUAAGAUUAUUUGAGGAUAAGCUGAGGGAGGUAAGAUUGAGAAGUUGGAAUAUUGAAGAUGGAAGAGGACCUUGGAGUUUAUUAUUUUCUAGAUCUAAAUAUUCUAGUGAUUUGGUUUGGAAUUCUUUGAUAUGACGGAAGUGUUCCAUUGAGUAAAUUGUCAAAUAACACUAAAUAUAUUAGAUUCGGAACAGCGGUUACCUCAUCUGGAAUAGAACCUUCUAAAGAAUUUUCAGAUAUUUCCAAGUAUUCCAACUGCGUUAGGUUUAGAAUUGACAAUGGAAUUUGUCCACUCAAUUUGUUUGAUCCCAAGUCUAAAUGAGUGAGUUGCAAGAGGUUUCCAAGUGAUCUUGGACCGGUCCUGAUAAGUUGGAAUCGGAGAGAACUAAAAACUUCAAGGACACAAGAUUCCCCAUCGAGUCAGGCAAUCCUCCAAAAAAAUUUGCGCCUCUAAUAAUCAAGUACUCCAAAGAUGAUAAAUUUGUGAUUGAGGCAGACAAUCCUUGAAAGAAAGAAUUUCCUGAUAGGUCUAGGUACUUUAAGGCCUGUAGAUUAUCAACCGAAUCAAUGAAUUCUGUAGAGAAGGACAUCCACGACAGAUCCAAAUGUUCGAGAUUGCUGCUCCGAUUGAACUUCAAAGUAUCAAGGUUGAGGUUUUGGUUACGUCCCAAGUUGAGGAGAUUGAGGUUUGGCAAAUCAAAAAUGUUUUUUGGGAAUUUUCCUUGCAAAUCACAACCAGCAAGACUGAGAGACCUUAGAGAAGAGGAUAGAUUCAUGAACACAUGAGCAUUAACAGAAGACAUGUUGAUUCCAUCCAAAAACAGGUGUCUGACCUCGGUUAGGUUGUGAACAAGUCCCUCCAGAGCAUAUUUGUCAAUUGUUUGUUCACCAAACACAGAGGAGGAGAGAUCAAGUGAAACCAAUUUUGACAGGUGGGAGACUUGGGAUGGGACUUCUCCUGCAAACCAUGUAUAAGAAAGCUUGAGGUAGAAUAGGCUUGUAAACCGACCGAACUCGGACCUAUCUUCAAACAUAUUAAAUACCCAUUCACUUCAAUUCUACUAUUCUUAAAUCAUUAAAGUUUUGUGGAAAAUAUGCUUCUUGGAUAAAAAUUAUUCAACACACAUGCCUUGAAUUUUAUGCAAUAAAAUAAAUCAAUAUAGGCCACACAUGCUUUGAAUUUUUAAGUAGUCCACAAUUUUGUUCGUUUGUGUGCAAGAUUCUACAUUGCUUGACAGCCAUACAUACUAAGUAAAUAGACACCCACAUUGUUUACGUAUUAUGAGGAAGAAGAUUAAGUCAAUCUACUUUGUAAUCUCAUCAAUCUUAAUUUUCUCAGUUGUUUAGGGAGUUCAAAUGAAAUACAAAAUUUUGGAAAAAAAAUGUAUCCAAUUUUGUGAAUGAAAAAUAUAUGGUAAAAAGGAUUUGGUAUGGAUACUUCGGCCCGGGUAUCAAUACUCAGAGUAAGUUAAAGCAUCAGUGGAUGAAGAAGGAUCUGGUUGGUGCAAAUGAAGUUAAAGCAUUUGUGCUGUGUCUUCAUAAUUUCUUGUUUAGUAGUCUGUCAGAAAGUUUUUCCUAUGGUGAAAAGUUGCAUUGGUAUGUGUCUGUUUUUAUGAUUGUACCAAUUCCUCUGUAUUUCAUUGCAUUUCGUACUAUUUGUAAGGGUUUAGUUCGAGUGUAACAUCUUGUAUGGUGCAACUAUGUGUGUCUUCUUUCUUGAAUUUCAAUUUUUAGUAAACAUUGUACUGCUCACCAUAAAAAAGGAUACAUGUAGAAUUACAAAAGAUUCAAUUAUUCAAGUUUGAGUUGCAUUUAUAAACACGUGGCGAUGAGAAUUUAUGAACGUAAGGUAUGGUUUGAGCCCUUUUGCCAUAUGCAUUUAUGUUGCAGAUGUUCAAAUAUUAAUUUAAGAGUAAUAUUUACAAUAGCAUUGCAGAGUAACAUAUUUAAGAUUGGAUUACACAGUCAAAAGAUUGCAGCAACGAUGAGAUUAAUACAAUUACAGGAAUUGGUAUCCUACAUGGCUUUUAGGCACGUAGCUUCAUUGACGAUGAGAUAAUUUUAGGAGGAAGCAACAGCAAGUGUGAAGUCAAUAGACAAUUGAUAGUCUUUAUUCUUUUGUGUGGAAAAUUAUUUGGGACCAAACUUAACGUGUUAUAAGGAAGAAGACUUUGUAAUCUCAUGAAAUGUUAAUUAUUUUACUUCUUUGGUAAAAAAAAAGGAAUUAAUUUUAUGAAUGAAAAACAUAUGGUAAAAAGGAAAUAGUUGUUGAUCACUAACAACAUGAUGAUUGUGGAAAUACAAAAAUUCCCAUAUAUGUGUUGAAUUCUGCAUAAUGUAAAUGUCCCGCAUUGCAUGUGAAUUCUGCAAUAGACCAAAUUUUACGUGUUAUAGUCCUUUAAACUGAGUUAAUGAAAAGUAAUCAUUCUUAUCAAAAUUAGUUAUACUCUUAAUUUAUAAUAAAAGAAAGAGUAAUUUGAGUUUAACUCAAAGGUUAAUAUGUCAUCAAUGGGCGAUGGCAUGGCGCUACCAUGUCAGCGAUUAUUUUCUUCUUUGAGUUAAGGUGAUUUCACCAAUUUUAGUUUACUUUUUAACUUCAAUUUAGGUUUAUGCUUAUUAGCUUCGAAGAUUCUAUGUGGGUGCCACAAUCAAAGGGUGAGUAAAAAGGGUUAAAAAUAAUUUUUUUUAAAAUAUUUUUAUUUUUAUUAAAAAUUUAGAAUUAGAAUUAGACAAAUUUUGUAAAUGUUAAGGGCUAACUUUAUUGAAUUUUUUUUUUCAGAAUUCGAACUAAAAUGACAAAUUUUGUAAAAAGCGCUAAAUUUGUUGAAUUUUUUAUAUUUAAGAUCAAAUUGAUAGAAUGUGUAAAUAUUAGAGGUUAAAUUCGUUAUUAGAUAAAAAAAAACCCACAUCAGCUUUCCGUCACUCAUCUAACGACAACUAAAGGGAGAGUGAUUAAAAUAUUUAAUUUCAAAAAGUUUAGCAACUAAUUGGAAAAUUUAAUAGUUGGGUGACUAUUUUUAUAGUUUACAACUUUUUUGGUCACCUGACUAUUAAGUGACACUUUUUUGUUGGAAUAAUAAUAAUUUUAGUCCUCAAUUUUUAUACUUUUUGUCAAUUUAACUCUGAUUAUAUAAAAUGAUUACAAAAAUGAAAUUCUUUUUAAAUUUUACAAAAUUAUAAAAAUUAAAAAUUAAAUGAAAGUAGAUAAGAAUUUCAAAUAUAAAUAAAGUGAGAGAAAAUGAGGGAAAUAUCAUUUUUAAACCCUACAAAUUGUCUUUGUAUUAUCUGUAAAGAAAUAUCUAAUAUCCAUUCUUUUAGAAAACAUAGAAAAAAGUUAAAAAAAGAUUAAGUAAAAUUAUCUGUAUAUAAUCUGCUUUUAUAAUUUGGGUUUUUAAAAAUAAAUUUAAAUGAAUUGAAAAUUCAAAUUGAGUUUGAAAAAGAAAAUUUUGAGGUAUAUUUUAUAUUUUUGCUAGAAAAAUGGCAUCAAAGUCGAUUUCGUAAGCUUUUGUAAUAUCAGUUACAGAUGUUCUUCAAGGGCAUGGAACUCAACUUGAAAAUUUUACUAAUUUGGUUGCAAAAAACAUUGAGGAAGCAUAUAAUGAUCUAACCUUUUUUUUUUGUUUUGUUCUGUUUUUAAUUUGUUAUGGGAUUCUAUUGAAUGAUAAUUUUUUUUAUUUCCCAUACAUUUUAGUUCUUCAACAACAACAUAUUCGAGAUUUUAUUUUUCUAGAAUUUUUAUAUAGAAGUUUAUAUUUUUUAAAAUAAUUUUGAGUUUCUUUUUAUAAUUUUUAUAUAGAAUCGAGGUAGAUUGGCAAAAAAAAUUAUAUAACAAAAUAGUAAAAUUGUUAUUAUAGCAACUACAAAGUGUCAUUUAACAAUAGGGUGACCAAAUUGUAACUUUUUUAGUUAAGUGACCAAAACGAAGAUUUACCCAUAGUUCAGUGGCUAAUUAUGUAGUUUACCCUUUCAUGAUUAAAAAAAUAGUUGUUAAGUUUUUCUUGUAUUAGAUAAGAUUUUAGAUGGUAAAAACCCUCGUUAGUCGCUCUCAAUUUUGAUAUUAAGUAAAUUGGUCCAUUUAAAAAAAAUCAAAGCAAUUUAAUCUUUGUUAAUUUCGAAAGUGAGUAGCUAAGGACAAUUAAUCACAAUGUCAAUAUUUUCCAUCAAUUGUACAUAUUUUUAUUGGUAUAAUAACAAAUUUAGCUCUCAAAGUUUACACAUUCUGCCAAUUUGGUCUUGAUUUAACAAAUUUAGCCCGCAACAAUUACAUAUUCUAUUAACAUUUACACAUAAUAUAUAAACAUCGAGAGCUUAAUUUGUUAUUAUAUCAAUAAAAAUUAUGUACAAUUUAUAGAAAGCAUUAACACAAUGAUUAAUUGUCCUUAGUUGCUCCCUUUCAAAAUUGAUAAUGAUUAAAUUGCUCUAAUUUUCUGAGAGGAACCAAUUUGUUCAAUAUAGAAAUUGAGAGGGACGAGAAAUGUGUUUUUUUUAUCCAUUUUAGAUACCAACAAGUGUUUGGCGUAGUGGCAAGGCAUAUUACAUUCUGAAGGAGAGAAUGCGUAUUCGUUGGAGAUAACAAUGUUGUGUGGGGUAUUCACGGAUCUCGAACACAGACUGUAAAACAUAUAUAAAGAAUAAAAAGAAUAACAUCUUAAUUUAAAUAAUUAAUAAAUUUUAAUUUGAAAAAAAGUAUUUUGAGAAACAUAGGUUUUAUAAAUAGUAAAAUUGAAUCGAUAAAACAUGUCCAUUAUAUCAGAAUCAUAAAAAUACAACUUAAUUAAUUUGAAUUUAAACUUAACUCAACUCAAUUUGAUUAUAAAAAAUUGAUAAUUUGAAUCCAAAAUGACAUGAUCUUGAAAUGAUUUGAUUUAGUGAUCAAACCCGAAUGGCAAAACUCGAAAUGAUGCAAUCCAAAAACACAAAGCAAAUGAACUAAACUAUGAAAAAAAAAAACCUUACACCGACUCAAAUCCAAAAUAAUUUAAUCCUAAAAUAACCUAAAUUUUAUGUAAUAUAAACUCGAAAUAACCCGAAAAUUUUUAAAUUAAAAUUGACCCGACCCAAAUUCACACCACCUAAAAUCAAUCGUAACCACCUAAUUAAAAAGCAUGAAAUGAAAUGAUGUAAAGAGAAAAUCAGAGAAAACCAAAUAGAAAGUAACAAGCUUUUUUCAGAAUUGAAAGCAAAUUCCGUACAUUCACGACAUGCAUAAAACAACAAUGGUUUAUAGAAUUUGAGUUUUAGUCCUGUACUUUUAAAGUUAAUUUUUCUUAAUUUAAAAAUAUUAGUUUAAUUAUUUAUGUUGGUUGUAGUUUCCGUUAGCUUAAUCAACAUGUUAAAUUACUAAAUUUUGACAGAAAAUACUUACGAGUUUAAUGAUUGUACCGAGAUUUUUAAAUAAAAAAGUCGGAAGACUUAAUUUCUAACCUUUUAAAUAUAGGGACUAAAAGCAUCUUUUAACUUUGAUAUUAUUAUUAUAAGUAGGGAUAAUGUCACCUUUGAUAUCUGUACUUUCAUAAAAUGUCUAGUGGUACAAGUACUUUGAAAAUAUAUAAUGUGGUACUAUCAGUAUGUGUUAUUAUUAUGGUACAUGUACUUUGAAAAUGUUUAAUGUGGUACCUAAACUAUUUAUAUAUGGUUUAUUAUGAUCCUUGGUAAAGACGGACUAUUAUGGUGGCUUAGGGGGCUCUUUGUCCCGCCACCCAUGCAAAAAAAAAAAAAAUCGGAGAAUUUUGUUUUUUCCUUUGAAAUUUUUAGAAAAUUUCAAUUAAGCCCCAAAAAUUUUUUAAAUUUUUCAUUAUACCUUUUAAUUUUUUUUGAAAAUUUUAAUUAAGUGCUCUUAAAAUUUUGAAAAUUCUCAUUAAUCUCACAAAAAAUUUUAAAUUUUUUUAUUAGACCCCCAAUUUUUUUAAAAAAUCUUAUUAAACCCUUAAAUUUUAGUGAAUUCCCCCAAUUUUUGAAAGGGCUUAAAAGUUUGGAAAGGUUAGACCUCUCUUGCAACAAAAUUGAAGGCAAGAUUCCACAGUGGAUGCAAGAGGUGGGGAAUGGCUCUUUGACUUACUUAAAUGUAUCUCACAACUCAUUGACAGAAGUUGAGCACUUUCCAUGGAAUAAUAUUGCAGUUCUUGACUUAAGCUCCAAUUUGAUCCGUGGAAAUCUUCCGAUUCCAGCUUCGACAAUCAAUGUCUUUCUGAUCUCAAAUAAUAGUUUCAAUGGAGAGGUCUCUUCUUUAAUAUGCAAUGCCAGUUCUCUUCAAAUUCUUGAUUUGUCCCACAAUAACUUGAGUGGAACAAUUCCUCAAUGUUUUGGAAAUUUCAGCUACCAGCUUCAAUUCUUGAAUCUGAAGAAGAACAAGUUCUAUGGGACGAUUCCUCCAACAUUUGCAGAGUUUUUCCAAUUGAGUAAUUUCAACUUAAAUGGAAAUCUGUUAGAAGGGCCUUUGACACCAUCCAUCGUUAAUUGUUAUGAGCUGAAAGUGCUAGAUCUUGGUAACAACAAGAUCAAUGAUACAUUUCCUCAUUGGUUGGGAAGUCUUCCACACUACAAGUUCUUGUAUUGAAGUCAAAUCAUAUGCAUGGUUCCUUAUGUGUCAAUAGCUCCAAGUCUAGCCCUUUUUUCUCUAAAAUCCAAAUUUUUGACCUCUCAAGUAAUUAUUUUUCUGGACCCCUACCAGUGAGAUACAUCAACAGCUUCAAGGCUAUCAUAAAUCUAGAGAAGAUUGGGAGUACAGUGUCGUACAUGGGGUUGAAUUAUCCUUGGGGUCCUGGCUUCUAUACCUAUUCCAUUGGAAUAGUUAUGAAAGGACAAGAUAGGGAAUUGGUGAAAAUUUUCACCAUGUGGAUGAUCAUUGAUCUAUCAAACAAUCAGUUUGAAGGGGGUAUUCCAAAGGUUAUUGGGAAGCUUAACUUACUGAAAGGGCUCAACCUUUCUCAUAAUAACCCUAAUGGUGAUAUCCCCACCUCAAUAGGGAAUUUGACAAGUCUUGAAUGGUUGGACCUAUCUUCAAGCAGUUUGUCUGGGACGAUUCCAAAUAGAUUGGUAGAUCUGCCAUUUCUUUCGUCCGUAAAUUUUCUGAAAAUCAACUCCAUGGUCAGAUUCCUCAAGGCAAACAAUUCAAAGGAAAUAAGGGACUAUGUGGAUUUCCGGUCUCAAAAGGUUGCAACAUCAUUGAGCCAGCACCUCCAAAUGUGCUUGGAAAAGAUGGCUCAAAAUCAAACAUUGCUUUUGGUUGGAAAGUGGUGUUGAUAGGUUAUGGAUGCGGAGUAGUGUUCGGAAUGUUCGUGGGAUAUGUUGUUUUCCAAACUGGAAAGCCGAAAUGGUUGGUGAAUUUGGUUGAAGACCAACAUGAGAAUAGGCGAAGAAGAAAGUCAAAGAAAGGCAAUUGCAGCAGUAGACGAAGAAGGAUCUAAUUACUGCAAAUGAUGGUGAAGAAUUAGUGUUGUAUUUUCAUAAUUUCUUAGUCUGUAGACCGUUUUGCCUAUGGUGAAGGGUUGCAUUGGUAUGUGUCUGUCUUUAUUAUUGUACCAAUUCCUCUGUCUUUCAUUGCAUUUCGUACUUUCAGUAAUGGUUUGUUUGAGUGUAACAUUUUGUAUGGUGGUGUUGUUUAUGUCUUCUUUCAUGACUUUCAAUUUAGUCUCGAUAAUCUUUGCUACUGCUCAGUAAAGGAGAAAGGAGAACAAAAUGGCGCAAUGAUCUCUGUUGUAUUUUCAUAAUUUUUUUACAAGUUAGCAGUAAAAGGUUUGGUUAUAUGGAGAAAGUAAUAAUAUAUAGCAGAGUUGAAGGAAUGAUAUAAUGAAUUGAAACAUGGAACAAUGCAGACUGUAAAAGGGUACAUAUAGGUUGCUUUAAUUGCUAAAAUGGAAAGACUGUAAAAUGGAACAAUGCAGAAAUUGGUGUUGUUAUUAUGGAGUUCAAAGGUUAAUAUUCAUGCUUGUAGAUUUGACGCGGAAUGUAGAUGAACUGAAGGCUGUUUUGGCAUUAUGCCAAUUUCCACAUUCAUACAUAUAAAGGAAGCAAGACCAAGUCAAUAUCAUCAACUCUAAUUAUUUCACUUCUUUCUUUAGGGAGUUCAAAUGGUGGCCCGGAAGGAGUGAAAAUGUCACCUAGAAAGAGGGUAUCACAUAUCAAAGCACGAAAGUCGUCAUAAAAAUUUUAAAAACAAGGAAGAUUGAGCCAUCAACAGUGUUAUUGUGAAACCGAUCAUAAGGUAUCGCAAUGCCCAAAACUCCCAAGGAUCCCCACGACUGUUGUGAAUUUCGCGAUACCAAACUUGGUAUCGCAAUAUCAUUGAUGAGAGGAGACAAAAUAUAACAGUAGGGUAAUCCUUUUCCAACAUGUCCCCUAACCAAAAUUAGAUGAUCAUGGACAAUUUGGUCACUAUUUUUGGAUCUGUAAUUUGCUAGAAAGGGCAAAAAAUUGGCUGAACAAAAGGCAACACUUAACAUUUCAUGUUUUUCAAUUUUUCUCUUUAUUUUUAGAGUUUUAGUUUUCUUCUCCAUAACUCUAGGGUUUAAUUCAUGUUUUCUUUGAGUUUUUCUUGGUUCCAAUAAUAGUAGUUAGUUAAGUUAAUUAUCACUGUAGCUAGGAUUUAUUGGCUCGUUUAGUACCUUUAACUCUUUGUAUUUUCAGCUUAAUCCUUGGUUUUAAUAUAAAUAAAUUCCCUUCAUCAUUAAAAAUCUAUUUUUAGGGUUUUUUUUUACAUUUCCUUUGCUACCAUUGUAAUUGUUUUCAAGCUUUUCUCAUUUUUCUCAUGUUUUCUAGUUAUGCCUAUUUUGUAUGAUUGUUGUAUUUUUGUUUGUUUAAAUAUGAUUAUGGGUAACUAAAUCUGAAGUGAAAUUUGGCAUUAUGAAAAUGUCCAACAUUGCUUGUGGAUUAAUUCAUUAAUUCAUGUCUAUGUUUUAUUUAUUCAAAUGAUUAAUAGCUAAUUUGAUCCUUAAAUUAUAGUUCAAAAAGUAUUUUUAUAUUUUCAAAUUUUCAUAAAUAUAAUUGUAGCAAAAUUUAAAAAUCUGAAAAUAAAUAAAAAUUUUAUAUAAAAAAAUCAAUUGGUGCAAGAAAAAAAAAUUUCCAACUACUUUUUCCACAUCCAAUCUCAUAAAUAAUCAGUCUUUGAACUUUCACAAAAAAAUAUUAAAUACCCAUUUACUUUAAUUCUGCUCGUUUUUCAUUUGCUUUAUUGAUGUAUGCUCUCUUCAUAUUAUCUUUCUUUGCCUUUUUUUUUCCUCCUUUUUCAUGUAGAUCUGCGUCGACUCUACUAUUCUUGGAUCAUUAUAAAUAUAAUAUAUUUUUUUAUUUAUAGCUGAAAGUAAAACAUUGAGUUGAAAUUUGGCAAAAAAAAUUGUGGGUUUGGAGAAGAAGAAGAGCACUUCAUAUUUAAAUUUAAAAAAUCUAAAAUUCCAAAAUCGAAAGUUAGUCAAAACCCUAAACAAUCUAAUAAUUGGGGUUGUAGAAAAGAAAUAUGGGUUUAGAAAUAAAUAAAACAAAAUAAAUUUGCAAAACAAUUUCUAGGCAAAACAGCAUUAAAUUAAGGACUAAAAUAUUUUUUUUUAUAAAGCUUAGAGUGAAAUGAGUUUUUGGGAAACUGAAAAAAAAGUGAAAUGGGAAUGUUUGUACUAAUACACAUGGCAUUAUUGGACAGUAGACAAUAACUAAAAUGUUGCGUUAAUUUGUUUAUUGGACAUUCUUCUGCAAUGCUUAGAAAAUUUUAAUAUAUGUUUUAUUUUUAAAAUUUUUAAAAUUUAUGCUUCUUUUUCUUCUUCAGGAUCUCACUCCUGCUCUUCAUUAAUCCAGUUCAAGAACUCUUUUUCCAUAAUAGAGGAUGCUUCUUCUUAUUGCAAUGAUUUUGCUGGCCUUAAAUCUUAUCCCAAGACAAAUUCAUGGAAGGAGGGUACAGAUUGCUGCUCAUGGGAUGGGGUCACUUGUGACCACCUAAAUGCUCAUGUUAUUGCUCUUGACUUGAGCUGCAGUUGGCUAUAUGGCAACUUCCCUUAGCAGCCAAAAAAACCCAAUUGAGAACUGGGUUCCAAAUCAGACAAGGCAAAAGCCAAAUCAUCUGGGAUUGGUGGAGAGUGAUGUGUCAGAAGAAGAAGAAGAGGAAGAAGGGGUUUGAGAUGUGACAACUAUUGCACUGCAUUGCAGUCUGCAAUUGAGAACUGGGGCCUCCUGCUUAUUUAUAUUAACUAUCCACUACUCGUUAUUGUCGUGUCGUGUGAACUUAUGAGGAAACAUAGUGCUUUCAUUCUGUGCUUCGUACUUUUUUACUACCAAGGAGGUGCAGUUAAAUUGUACUAUUAGCAGGAUUAGAGGUGGUUUAUAGGGAGUGUGUUCUUUUAGUGGGUAUGAACUCUCCCUUUCAUAUUAAUUGGGUUUUAUUAUUUUGGCCCAAAGGUGGGGAUUGUAGUGUAUGGAUAUUAUUAUUAUUAUUCACAGUGGCAACGCCCACCUCGUCUACCAAACGACAAAUAUAACCUUUGAAAUUGACCAAACUUUGUUCGGUCAUAACAUUGACCAUUGACGACAAGAAAAGUUUGUUUUCCAUUAUAUCUUAACCUUUGAAGCAUUGUAUGUGGCCACCCACGUAGUCAACUAUUUAUGUUAUGUCACGACAAAAACAGCAUCCUCCUUUGUCUUUGAAAUUCGACAUUAAUAAUGGAGUUCUUUUUGCACACAUGCAUUCUAUUUAUUAUUUUGAAUACAAUUCUAAUCUAGAUUUUUGGCUUUACAUUUUUUUUAUUUAAUCAUCAAGUUGUCCAUGUUCUUUAAUUUUUUUUAAAAAAACUAAGUUGCAUUUCCUUUUUUUUAAAAUUAACGAUAUAUUGAAAUCAUUAUUGAAAUUAUAAUCAAAAUUAAUACAUGUUCUUUUUAUUAGCUUAAGGGCAUAAAAACCCUUCAAAAUUUUCAAAAAUAAAAAUAAAAAUUUAAGUCCCUCUUUUUUUUUUACACUUAAUUGAGCAUUUAAACUUUUAAAAUGUAUCAAAAAUAUCUUUACACUUCUUAAAAAAAGCAAUUAAAUCCCUAUUUUUUUCUGCUCAAUUGGGUACUUGAACUUUCAUAAUGCAUAAAAAAGGAUCACAUCCUUUAGUUCCUUAUUUUACAUAUUUCAUUGCGGAUGAGGUUGUCUUAAAAGAUCUUUCAUACCUCAUUAUAUAUGUCUGUUGCAAAGAACUUUUGGUUGGUUAUCUCAAGCUUACAUUUUUGCCACAUGUUUGCUUUGAUGCGUGUUGCCCGGAGUCUUCUCCAGAAUGAACACUUACUCAUAGAACCUUAUGUGAGUUUAUUAUUUCAAUGAUUUAGAAGUACACGAACUAAUGCAAAUAUGCUAGUGGUUUAUUUUCCACCUAUCUGAUUUUUUAAAAUGUUCUUCAGUUACACCAGUUGAUGCCUUCUAUUAUUACCUGCCUCGUUGCAAAAAGGUUAGGAAAUAAAUUCACCGACAAUCAUUGGGAACUUAGAAACUUCGCAGCAAAGCUAGUGGCAUCAAUAUGCAAAAGGUGAAGAUUUCUUUUCUUUUGGACUUAUACAUGCAUUUUCGUUUUUAUGAAUUUCAGAUGUCUGAUUUUUUAGUUAUAAACUUGGAUCUAUUCUUCAAAUCAAGUGUAUAUCAUUUUCAUGCUAUUUCACACAUGCAAAACAAAUGGUGCGAGCAUGCAUGUUAUAUGCAGAAUACAUAGAUUAAUUACGUGUGGAUCAUUAAGCAUGCCUAUGUUUGACCAAUGUGUGUGGCUACUUUUUUUUUUUACAUGAUCCAAUUUUCGAUAUGCUUUGCUUUUAGGUUGAAUGCGGAAAAGAUUAGAACUUAAUUUCCAGCAUAAUGAUUUGUCUUGGAUAUGCAGAUUUUUACAUGCAUUUCUUACAAGUCAAUAUUUAUAGAUUUGGGCAUGUUUAUCACAAUCUUCAGCCACGUGUGACAAGGACACUGCUCCAUGCUUUUUUGGACCCAACGAAAACAUUUCCCCAGCAUUACGGAGCAAUUCAAGGGUUAGCAGCCCUUGGACCCAGCGUGGUAUAAUUCUAAUCUCAAAUAUUUACUAGCAACACAAUAAGAUACUUGUUUGUGGGAUCAAUUGGUCAAAGAUAUUGCAAUGAUAGCCAUCUUUUUGACAGAAGUUGAGCACUUUCCGUGGAAUAAUAUUGCAGUUCUGGACUUAAGCUCCAAUUUGAUCCGUGGAAAUCUUCCGAUUCCAGCUUCGACAAUCAAUGUCUUUCUGAUCUCAAAUAAUAGUUUCAAUGGAGAGGUCUCUUCUUUAAUAUGCAAUGCCAGUUCUCUUCAAAUUCUUGAUUUAUCCUACAAUAACUUGAGUGGAACAAUUCCGCAAUGUUUUGGAAAUUUGAGCGACAGCCUUGAAUUCUUGAAUCUGAAGAAGAACAUGUUUUAUGGGACGAUUCCUCCAACAUUUGCAGAGGGAUGCCAGUUGACUAAUUUCAACUUAAAUGGAAAUCUGUUAGAAGGGCCUUUGACACCAUCCAUCCUUAAUUGUAAUGAUCUGGAAGUGCUAGAUCUUGGUAACAACAAGAUCAAUGAUACAUUUCCUCAUUGGUUGGGAAGUCUUCCAAAGCUACAAGUUCUUGUAUUGAAGUCAAAUCAUAUGCAUGGUUCCUUGCGUGUCAAUAGCUCCAAGUCUAGCCCUUUUUUCUCUAAAAUCCAAAUUUUUAAUCUCUCAAGUAAUUAUUUUUCUGGACCCCUACCUGUGAGAUACAUCAACAGCUUCAAGGCUAUCAUAAAUCUAGAGAAGAUUCGUAGUACAGUGUCGUACAUGGGGGUGAAUAAUCGGAAUGGUAGUGGCUUCUAUACCUAUUCCAUUGGAAUUGUUAUGAAAGGACAAUAUAUGGAAUUGGUGAAAAUUUUCACCAUGUGGAUGAUCAUUGAUCUAUCAAACAAUCAGUUUGAAGGGGGUAUUCCAGAGGAUUUUGGGAAGCUUAACUUACUGAAAGGGCUCAACCUUUCUCAUAAUAACCUUAAUGGUGGUAUCCCUACCUCAAUAGGGAAUUUGACAAGUCUUGAAUGGUUGGACCUAUCUUCAAACAGGUUGUCUGGGACGAUUCCAAAGAGAUUGGCAGAUCUGCCAUUUCUUUCGUCCUUCAAUGUUUCUGAUAAUCAGCUCCAUGGUCAGAUACCUCAAGGCAAACAGUUCAACACAUUUGGAAAUGAUUCAUAUGAAGGAAACAAGGGAUUAUGUGGAUUUCCGGUCUCGAAAGGUUGCAACAUCAUUGAGCCAGCACCUCCAAAUGUGCUUGAGAAAGAUGGCUCAAAAUCAAACAUUACUUUUGGUUGGAAAGUGGUGUUGAUAGGUUAUGGAUGCGGAGUGGUGUUGGGAACGUCCGUGGGAUAUGUUGUUUUCCAAACUGGUAAGCCGAAAUGGUUGGUGAAUUUUGUUGAAAUCCAACAUGAGAAGAAGCGAAGACGAAAGUCAAAGGAUGGCAGCCGCAGCAAUGGACGAAGAAGGAUCUAGUUAGUGGAAAUGAUGUUCAAGUGUUGAUGUUGUAUCUUCAUAAUUUCUUGUUUUGAAGUCUUUCAAUUUUUUUCCUAAGGUGAAAGGAUGCAUUGCCAUGCAUCUGUCUUUAUUUUUGUAACAAUCCAUCUAUAUUUCACUGCAUUACGUAGUAUUUGUAAGGGUUUGUUUUAAAUGUAACAUUUUGUAUGGUUCAACUAUUUAUGUCUUCUUUCAUGACUUUCAUUUUUGAGUCUCAAUAAUCUCUGCAUUCAAAAUUUUGUCAUCUUUUUCUCGAGUUAAACACAGUCAAUACUAUAAAAAUUUCUUCUGUGUGGAAAAUAAUUUGGCAUUCUGCAAAUUUCCACAAUGCUUAUGGAUUUCCUUUGGUUGACAGCUACACAUAUAAAGGAAAGAAACAAGACCAUGUCAAAAUUUCCAAAAAUUAGUCAUUCAUUUUUUAAAAUUGUAAAUUCUCAAAUAGUGCAAAUUAGUCCUAAAACUCAAGUUUUGAAAUCUUUACAAUUUAACCCCUUAUAGUUUCAAACUUUACUAUUUUAUGCUCAACUUUCUAAAUCUUCAUAUUUCAUGAUCAUAUAAUUCACUACAUCAAUAUUUCAGAUUUCACUACUCAAACCCUUACUUCAUUUUGGUCCUUACUUCAAUUUUAUCAAAUUACAUCAUUUUUCAAUUUGAAUGCAUUGAUGUGAAAUUGAGGGACCACUAAACAAUGUUGAUGCGAGUUUAGGCAAAAUUGGUGGAUCCCAUCUCCUUAGUAAUUUCUUUGUGGAAGUACCUACUUUCACAAUGCAAACUUGGAUAGUUUGUGGUGGACGAUGAUGAAUCAUUUCACAAUCAAACACACCAUUUUUAAACACAAAAUUAACGAUAUAUUGAAAUCAUUAUUGAAAUUAUAAUCAAAAUUAAUACAUGUUCUUUUUAUUAGCUUAAGGGCGUAAAAACCCUUCAAAAUUUUCAAAAAAUAAAAUAAAAUUUAAGUCCCUCUUUUUUUACACUCAAUUAAGCACUUAAAAACUUUUAAAAUGUAUCAAAAAUAUCUUUACACUUCUUCAAAAAAAGCAAUUAAACUCCUAUUUUAUUUCGCUCAAUUGGGUACUUGAACUUUCAUAAUGCAUCAAAAAGGCCUUAAAUUUUUUUCAAAGAAACAAUUAAGCCUCUAUUUUUUUCCCACUUAAUUGGGUACUUGAACUUUCAUAAUACAUCAAAAAGGCCUUAAAUUUUUUUCAAAAAAGCAAUUAAGCCCCUACUCUUAUUAAAAAUUAGAAAAAAAUCAUAAAAAUAAAAAAAAUUAGAAAAAAAUUAUUAAAUUUUAAUAAAAUUUAAAAACUUAUUAAAAAUUAGAAUUUUUUUAAGAAAAAUCGUCAAAAAAUAAAAAAUUAUAAAAUUUUAUAAAAAUCAUAAAAAAAUAUAAAAUCCAUCAAAAAGUCCUUUUAACAAUUAACUUUAACUAUUGAUCGUUAAAGUUAACGACCUCUAGUUUUUUCAAUUAAAGUCAUUAUGUGUCGCAACUCAGCAUGACAUGUAGCGAAAACAGAUAAAAAAGUAAAAAUCAAUAAAAGUUAUAGAAAAAUUAUAAAAUAUUUCUUUUGGUACAAUAAUUUUUAUAAAAAUUUUUUUACAAAAUUUAUAAUUCUUUACAUUUUGUAUAAUUUUCUUAUAACUUUAUAAAAUUUUAUAAUUUUUUAUAUUUCUAUAUAUUUUAUAAUUUUAUAAAAUUUUUAUAAAAUUUUACAAUUUUACAAUUUUUAAUAUUUUAUUUUUUAUUAUAAUUUAAUAAUAUUAUUGAUUUUAUUGAUUUUAAUUUUUUUUCUAAUUUUUAAUAAAAGUAGGGGCUUAAUUUAUUUUUUAAAAGUUUGAGGGUGUUUUUGAUGCAUUUUGAAAGUUCAAGUACCCAAUUGAGUGCAAAAAAGAAAGUAGGGGCUUAAUUGCUUUUUUUGAAAAAUGUUUGAGGGCCUUUUUGGUUUAUUUUGAACGUUCAAGUACCCAAAUGAGUGCAUAAAAAAAACAGGGGUUUAGUUGCUAUUUUUGAAAAAGUUUGAGGGAUUUUUGCACCCUUAAACCUCUUUUCUUUUUCUAAAUUUAAUUUAGAACCAACUUUGUGUAAAGACUUGGGAAAUUUAAUUAGCAAAAAUUCUUUCCAUGUAAAAAUUUCCCCUAUUUCUUGUUUGAAUUUAAAGCAAUACAAUAUUUUUCUAGCAAGUAACAGAAAAUGACUGUCAAUUCAUUCUAAGCAAUACAAAAUCUCCAGUCUGGUGGAAAAUUUGUUUCUUAGAUACUAUUAUUCAACUUUUAAGGCAUAAGUUUGAAUAUAGCUAGGGACUAAAAUUUUAAAGUGUUGUUUACUACACACUUAGGGACCAUAUAUGUAUAUAUAUAUAUUCCAGUCUGGGUCUUUGUCGUGUUUUGUUGGUUGGCUAUGGCCUUGUUGUUGUUUCCACUGCCUGUGGUCUUUGUUUCUAAGUCAUAUGUGGCCUUAGUUGCUAAUUUAAAGGGAGUGAAUAGAGCACCAUUUUCUUCUUCUGCGUGGAAAAUAAGUUGGCAUUAUGCCAAUUUCCACAUUCAUACAUAUAAAGGAAGCAAGACCAAGUCAAUAUACUUUCUAAUCUCAUCACUUCUUCUUUCUUUAGGGAGUUCAAGUGAAAUACAAAUUUUUCCACAUCCAAUCUCAUAAAUAAUCCAUCUUUGAACUUUCACAAAAAAAUAAUAAAUACCCAUUCACUUUAAUUCUACUAUUCUUAAAACAUUAAAGUUUUGUGGAAAAUAUGCUUCUUGGAUAAAAUUAUUCAACACACAUGCCUUGAAUUUUAUGGAAUAAAAUAAAUGAAUAUAGGCCACACAUGCUUUGAAUUUUUAAGUAGUCCACAAUUUUGUUCGUUUGUGUGCAAAAUUCUACAUUGCUUGACAGCCAUACAUACUAAGUAAAUAGACACCCACAUUGUUUACGUAUUAUGAGGAAGAAGACUAAGUCAAUCUACUUUGUAAUCUCAUCAAUUUUAAUUUUCUUAGUUAUUUAGGGAGUGUUGACAUCAUUUUUGAUGAAAACGGGGUCGACUUGGGUUUUGGGAAAAUGAAAACAAAAACGGGAGUCGCCACCAAUCCCUUUUUUAUGAGGUGUGAUUGGAUUACCUCGAAAAAUGGUUGUUUUUAAUAAACGGUUUGAUUUUAUUAAAACAACGGUUUUGGUCCACGAAAUUUAGAAAACGGGUUCGGGAGUCGGUUACGCACGAGGAAGGAUUAGCACCCUCGAUACGCCCAAAAUUGGUACCUAGUUGAUUACUUAAUGUCUUAAUGUCGAAAAUUGAGAAUUUAAAAGAAUUUUUAAAAAAAUACGAUCCUUGUAUUAAAAUGUUAAGAAAAGGAGGAUAUUUCACGUUAUUCGAGAAAAAGAAUCAUAUUCAGUAAGUUAGAAUACAAUAUCUCAAAUUCUCGAUACGCGAAUGAAAAAGUUUAUUUAAGAAAUUUUAGUCAUCUCGAAUUUAAAAAUGAGAUCAUAACCAGUAAGUUAGGAUGCGACCCCUUUUUUAAAAAUUCGAGAUCAUUUAAAACUUGAUUUUGAAAAGAUUCGUGUAUUUAGAUUCAUCGAGAAAAUCGAAACCCAGUAAGUUAGGGCACGAUUUUCUCGAAUCCAAACACGAAAUGCCAUUUAAAAAAAUUGUUACAUCAAGUAAGAUAAAACACAAAAUCAUAGUGAAAGCAAAUUACAUUUUUAUGUAUGGUAACUAAUAAAAGGUCAACAAAAUAAAAAAUAAACAAACCAGAAUAAAGACAUUUAAGCAAAUAAUAACGAACAUGUAGAUAAAUAAAUAAAUCAACAUGAAAUGAUAAUUAUAAUAAUGAAUAAAAUGGUGAUAUAUAUACGUAUGUAUGUUAGAAACAAAUUAUACGAGGUAAAAACAUAAAGUUAAAUACAAAAAAAGAAGUAUAUAUGAUUAUAAAAUACAUGUAUAUACAUAAAUAAGGAAAUAGAAAUGCUCAUAAAAUAAAAAAUAAAAAUAUUCGUAUGCACGUGUAUUAUAUUGUAAUUGCGUAGGUAUAAAUAUUAUGUAGUAUAUGUAUAUAAAUAUAUAGAUAUUAAAUAAAUAAAAAGCAGGGUAGAUAUAAAAAAAUAUUGAAUAUAUAUAAUAUAAUAUUAUUAUUAGAUAUAUAUUAAAGUUUAUAAAUAUAUAGAUUCGCAAUAAUUUUAGACGUAUAUAUUAUAGUAUAUAAAAAUAAUAAUAUAAUAAUAAAUAAAUAAAUGAGCAAAAGAAAAAACAUGCUUAAAAGGGACUUAAAUCGAAAUAAAACAAAGUUUCUGGGCUAAUUUAAGAAUAAAAAAAAAGGCGGAGGGACCUAAUUGCAAGCAGGCGUAAAAAGGAGGGACCGAAAGGGUAAUUAAACCCCCAAUGUCAGAACGACGCCGUUCCAGGAAGGAGGGCGCAGAUGAUCGAAGGACCAAAUCGAAAAACAAACUAAAUUAAUAAGCCAAUUUGCAAAAAAUUAAAAAGGAUUAAAUUUAAAAUAAUUAAAACUGCGGAGGGGCUAAACGAGCAAUUAGCCCCUUCGCAAGAAAACACGCGGAUCCUUCGGGUCGGAGCGGGUCGGGUCGCGGGUCCAAAGCGAAACGACGUCGUUUUGGGCGUUAUGGAGCUAGGCCAAAACGACGUCGUUUCACACGCCUAUAUAUUCAAAAAAAAUUUUCAAAAAAUUUCAUUCUUCUCCCCUUUUCAAAAAAAAACCGAAAUGCUCUCUCUCCCUCCCCUUUUCUCUCUGAACGCCGGCCAAAGAUCCGGCCGAGAACCACCGUACCGGCCGCCGGUCGCCGGCGCCGGCGCCGCCGUAAGCGGCGGUCGGAAGUCGAAAAGUUAGCCUUUUAAAAUCACGUUUCGAAAACCCUUCCAAAAAUCGAGUCCUUAAAGCCCUAAGGCCGAGAGAGGGAAUCUCAAAAAAUGAAACGCCUUCCUCGUCCGUUCUCAACGACUCGGACUCCGGCGACGCUACAACCGCGACGAUUCAGGUAAGUUUUGUUUAUUAAUCCUUAAGCUUAUAUUAAACAUAAAAGAAAAGGAAAGCAAAACCGAAUGGAAUCGAAAAAAGCUAAAAAAUUUCACCUUUCAACUGAUUUUUUUCUUUAUUUCUUUGAUCUUUUUUUUUUUUUUAAAAAAGAGUCCUCAUUACAUGUAUUUGUUUCGGCUUUUAUAGCCAAUUCCUAGUCUAUGCUUCUGUCUUGCUUGCUUUGAUUUAUUUACAGGGAUGGAGGUGACGGUGGCAGUUGGCGGUGGUUGCUGGCAGAGCAGGUGGGCAGAAUGACCGAAGGUCAGAAGACCCUAGGAGCGGCGCCUAGGGCUCCUCUGUUUUCUGCUAGGUCUUGUUUUGGGUUUUGGGCUGAGGGUAGGCUUAUUGGGUUAUUGGGCUAAGGGUUGUAAUUUGGACUUUUAUUUUUGUGUUUAAUUGGGCCUCGGGCAAAAUGGCCUGUAACAGGGAGUUCAAAUGAAAUACAAAAUUGAAGGCAAUAUUCCACAGUGGAUGCAAGAGGUCGGGAAUGGCUCUUUGACUUACUUAAAUAUAUCUCACAACUCUUUGACAGAAGUUGAGCACUUUCCGUGGAAGAAUAUUGAAGUUCUUGACUUAAGCUCCAAUUUGAUCCGUGGAAAUCUUCCGAUUCCUGCUUCGACGAUCAAUGUCUUUCUGAUCUCAAAUAAUAGUUUCAAUGGAGAAGUCUCUUCUUUAAUAUGCAAUGUCACUUUUCUUCAAAUUCUUGAUUUGUCCCACAAUAACUUGAGUGGAACAAUUCCGAAAUGUUUUGGAAAUUUGAGCAACAGCCUUGAAUUCUUGAAUCUAAAGAAGAACAAGUUUUAUGGGACGAUUCGUCCAACAUUUGCUAAGUGAUGCCAAUUGAGUAAUUUCAACUUAAAUGGAAAUUUGUUAGAAGGGCCAUUGACACCAUCCAGCCUUAAUUGUAGAGGUCUGGAAGGGCUAGAUCUUGGAAACAACAAGAUCAAUGAUACAUUUCCUCAUUGGUUGGGAAGUCUUCCACAGCAACAAGUUCUUGUAUUGAAGUCAAAUCAUAUGCAUGGUUCCUUAUAUGUCAAUAGCUCCAUGCCUAGCCCUUUUUUCUCUAAAAUCCAAAUUUCUGACCUCUCAAGUAAUUAUUUUUCUGGACCCCUACCAGUGAGAUACAUCAACAGCUUCAAGGCUAUCAUAAAUGUUGGUGUUAGAACAGAAACAAACAAGCUUGACUUUAGUCUUGUGCAGCAAGUCUCGAUGCUUGCUGAGCAAACAAUCGAGUUUGAGAAUAAAAUGAGGAAGAAAAGUAAUGAAAAUUGAGAGAACUUGAUGAACAAAUUUGAUUUCAUUCAUAAGUAAACAGCGGCAUGAUACCAAUACAUAAACCAAGCUCUAAGCUUGUCAAAAUCAAUAAGCAUUCACCUAAUUGUUACCUAACACCACUAAGCAUUGAAACUUGAAGUCAUUAACUUGUGCAUACAAGCAAAGCUGAAUUAACAGCUCAUACAUCUGCAAAUUACAUCAAUCAUCUACCAAACAUAGUUCUAAAUGAACUAAAUUACAUUUCAUUAACUAGAAAUUACAAAAUGAACAAAACUAGAUCAAUUGAGCUUGCAGCAGUAGCUUCUGCCUUGCUCGAUCUUCAUGGUCUGCAUGUUGGUUGGUGUGGCAGCAUGCUGGCCAACUUCAUCAAUAAAUCUAGAGCAGAUUGGGAGUACAAUGUCGUACAUGGGGGUGUAUGAUCGGAAUAGUAGUGGCUUCUAUACCUGUUCCAUUGGAAUUGUUAUGAAAGGACAAGAUAUGGAAUUGGUGAAAAUUUUCACCAUGUGGAUGAUCAUUGAUCUAUCAAACAAUCAGUUUGAAGGGGGUAUUCCAAAGGUUAUUGGGAAGCUUAACUUACUGAAAGGGCUCAACCUUUCUCAUAAUAACCUUAAUGGUGGUAUCCCCACCUCAAUAGGGAAUUUGACAAGUCUUGAAUGGUUGGACCUAUCUUCAAACAGGUUGUCUGGGACGAUUCCGAAUAGAUUGGCAGAUCUGCCAUUUCUUUCGUCCUUCAAUGUUUCUGAAAAUCAACUCCAUGGUCAGAUUCCUCAAGGGAAACAAUUCAACACAUUUGGAAAUGAUUCAUAUGAAGGGAAGAAGGGACUAUGCGGGUUUCUGGUCUCGAAAGGUUGCAACAUCAUUGAGCCAGCACCUCUAAAUGUGCUUGAAAAAGAUGGCUCAAAAUCAAACAUUACUUUUGGUUGGAAAGUGGUGUUGAUAGGUUAUGGAUGUGGAGUAGUGUUUGGAAUGGUCGUGGGAUAUGUUGUUUUCCAAACUGGUAAGCCGAAAUGGUUGGUGAAUUUGGUUGAAAUCCAACAUGAGAAGAAGCGAAGAAGAAAGUCAAAGGAUGGCAGUCGCAGCAAUGGACGAAGAAGGAUCUAGUUAGUGGAAAUGAUGUUCAAGUGUUGAUGUUGUAUCUUUAUAAUUUCUUGUUUUGAAGUCUUUCAAUUUUUUUCCUAUGGUGAAAGGUUGCAUUGGCAUGCAUCUGUCUUGAUUAUUGUAACAAUUCAGCUAUAUUUCACUGCAUUACGUACUAUUUAUAAGGGUUUGUUUUAAAUGUAACAUUUUGUAUGGUUUAACUAUUUAUGUCUUUUUUCAUGACUUUCAUUUUGGAGUCUGAAUAAUCUCUGCAUUCAAGAUUUUGUCAGCUUAUUAAUUGGUGGAUCAAUAAUCUUCAUGCUCAUCUCAUCAUCUUUUUCUUGAGUUAAACACAGUCAAUACUAUAACAAUUUCUUCUGUGUGGAAAAUAAUUUAGCAUUCUGCAAAUUUCCAUAAUGCUUGUGGAUUACCUUUGGUUGACAACUAUACAUAUAAAGGAAGGAAACAAGACUAUGUCAAAAUUUCCAAACAUUAGUCAUUCAUUUUUGAACAGUUAAACUUUCGUAUUCUAUUUUUCAAAAUUGUAAAUCCUCGAAUAAUGUAAAUUAGUCCUAAAACUCAAGUUUUGAAAUCUUUACAAUUUAACCCCUUAUAGUUUUGUUGGUUGGCAAUGGCCUUGUUGUUGUUUCCACUGUCUGUGGUCUUUGUUUCUAAGUUAUAUGUGGCCUUGUUUGCUAGAUCUUAGUUGCUAACUUAAAGGGAGUGAAUAGAGCACCAUUUUCUUCUUCUGCGUGGAAAAUAAAUUGGCAUUAUGCCAAAUUCCACAUUCAUACAUAUAAAGGAAGCAAGGCCAAGUCAAUAUAUUUUGUAAUCUCAUCAAUUCUUCUUCAUUCUUUGGGGAGUUCAAGUGAAAUACAAAUUUUUCCACAUCCAAUCUCAUAAAUAAUCCUUCUUUGAACUUUCACAAAAAAAUAAUAAAUACCCAUUCACUUUAAUUCUAGUAUUCUUAAAUCAUUAAAGUUUUGUGGAAAAUAUGCUUCUUGGAUAAAAUUAUUCAACACACAUGCCUUGAAUUUUAUGCAAUAAAAUAAAUGAAUAUAGGCCACACAUGCUUUGAAUUUUUAAGUAGUCCACAAUUUUGUUCGUUUGUGUGCAAAAUUCUACAUUGCUUGACAGCCAUACAUACUAAGUAAAUAGACACCCACAUUGUUUACGUAUUAUGAGGAAGAAGACCAAGUCAAUCUACUUUGUAAUCUCAUCAAUCUUAAUUUUCUCAGUUAUUUAGGGAGUUCAAAUGAAAUACAAAAUUUUGGAAAAAAAAUGUAUCCAAUUUUGUGAAUGAAAAAUAUAUGGUAAAAAGGGUUUGUUAUGGAUACUUCGGCCCCUGGUAUCAAUACUCAGGGUAAGUUUAUCGAUAGGUUAUGGAUGCGGGGUAGUGUUUGGAAUGGCCAUGGGAUGUGUUGUUUUCCAAACCGGUAAGGCGAAAAGGUUGGUGAAUUUGGUUGAAGACCAACAUGAGAAGAGGCGAAGAAGAAAGCCAAAAUAUAGCACUCGCAUCAAUGGAUGAAGAAGGAUCUAGUUGGUGCGAAUGAAGUUAAAGCAUUUCUGCUGUGUCUUCAUAAUUUCUUGUUUAGUACUCUGUCAGAAAAUUUUUCCUAUGGUGAAAAGUUGCAUUGCUAUGUGUCUGUUUUUAUGAUUGUACCAAUUCCUCUGUAUUUCAUUGCAUUUCGUACUGUUUGUAAGGGUUUAGUUCGAGUGGAACAUCUUGUAUGGUGCAACUAUGUAUGUCUUCUUUCUUGAAUUUCAAUUUUAGUAAACAUUAUACUGCUCACCAUAAAAAAAAUACAUGUAGAAUUACAAAAGAUUCAAUUAUUCAAGCUGUUUGAGUUGCAUUUAUAAACACGUGACGAUGAGAAUUCAUGAACAUAAGGUAUGGUUUGAGCCCUUUUGCCAUAUGCAUUUAUGUUGCAGAUGUUCAAACAUGGAAUAAUUCAACCUGCCAUAAGCAAGUGUGAAGUCAAUAGACAAUUGAUAGUCUUAGUCUUUGUCUUUUUUUGUCUGAGUUAAAGUGUAGUCAAUAGACAAUUGAUAGUCUUAGCCCUUUUUGUGGAGUUAAAUUUAUAGUCAAUAGACAAUUGGGACCAAACUUGACCUGUUAUAAGGAAGAAGACUUUGUAAUCUCACCAAUGUUAAUUAUUUUACUUCUUUGGUAAAAAAAAGUAAUUAAUUUUAUGAAUGAAAAAUAUACGGUAAAGAGGAAGUAGUUGUUGAUCACUAAUAACAUGAUGAUUGUGGAAAUACAAAAAAUCCCAUAUAUGUGUUGAAUUCUGCAUAAUGUAAAUGUCCCGCAUUGCAUGUGAAUUCUGCAAUAGACCAAACUUUAUGUGUUAUAGUCCUUUAAACUGAGUUAAUGAAAAGUAACCAUUCUUAUCAAAAUUAGUUAUACUCUUAAUUUAUAACAAAGAAAGGAGUAAUUUGAGUUUAACUCAAAGGUUAAUAUGUCAUCAAUGGGCGAUGGCGUGGUGCUACCAUGUCAGCCAUUAUUUUCUUCUUUGAGUUAAGGUGAUUUCACCAAUUUAAGUUUACUUUUUUACUUCAAUUUAGGUUUAUGCUUAUUACCUUCGAAGAUUCUAAGUGGGUGCCACAACCAAAGGGUGAGUAAAAAGGGUUAAAAAUAAUUUUUUUAAAAAUAUUUUUAUUUUUAUUAAAAAUUUAGAAUUAGAAUUAGAUAAAUUUUGUAAAUGUUAAGGGCUAACUUUAUUAAUUUUUUUUUCAUAAUUCGAACUAAAAUGACAAAUUUUGUAAAAAGCGCUAAAUUAGUUGAAUUUUUUAUAUUUAGGAUUAAAUUGAUAGAAUGUGUAAAUAUUAGAGGUUAAAAUUGUUAUUAGAUCAAUAAAAAACCCAUAUCAGCUUUCCGUCACUCAUCUAUCUACAACUAAAGGGAGAGCGAUUAAAAAAUUAGAAUGUUUGGAUCAUUUUUCUAAUUAAAGUCAUAGUGUAGGAGGCAAUUAAAUGCAUGCGCCACUCACGGUGGACGGUUUUGACAGCUGAUGACGUUGACAGUGCUCUUAAUCUGAGAAACGUGGAGGUACAUUUUCAAGUUUCAAAAAUUUUCUGUUUAUUGUAUUUUUUUAUUAUUCUUUUUCCUUUUUAGUUGAAAAUAGUGCUAAUUAAUGUUAUUUGUUUGACUAAUGUGAUAAUUUCUACUUCAUGUGUAUUAAUCCAUAAAUUUUAACAAGAGUGGAAUUUUGAGAACUUAGUUUUGGAAGUUUGAAUCUUAAGUUUAACCUGCUGCUUUAGAUUUUGCAUUUUGGUUAACUGGCUUGUGUUAUGUGUUUCUCUGGCAUCAGCCGAUAUGUGGAUUUGCCCCUCGUGAUGCACUACGAUUCAAGAAAGCUGCUGGGCAUAAGGAUUUGUUCUACAUUGAUGACAAAGAUGUGGAGUUUAAAGAAGUAGGAACUUAUCAACAAUAUUCGAGAUUCUGUUAUAUGUUGCCUUAUGUAUGUAGGUUCUUGAGUCACCUUUGCCAAGAGCACCACGUGAAUUUAUAUAAGUAUACACAUUUUUAUGAAAUACAAGAUCUUGCUAAAAGAAAAAGCAUAUAAAAGUAUAAACGUUUUUAUGAAAUACAAGAUUUUGCUAAAAGAAAAAGCAUCCAAUUUUAAGAAUGAAAAAUAUAUGGUAAAAGCAUCCAUAACUUUUCAAUGUAAAAGACAAAAAAGACUGUAACACCAAUGUUGUGGUAUUAUUUGUUGCCUAUAAAUACCAUUCCUAUCCUUCUUCUUCCUCUACAAACAUAACAUGGCCCCCUAUCUCUUUCUCUGCCUAUUCCUCUUCUUUCCCCAUCUUUAUGCUUCUUUUUCUUCUUCAGGAUCUCACUCCUGCUCUUCACUAAUCCAAUUUAAGGACUCUUUUUCCAUCACAGAGGAUGCUUCCUGGUAUUGCGAUGAGAUUGCUGGCCUUAAAUCUCAUCCCAAGACAGAUUCAUGGAAGGAGGGUACAGAUUGCUGCUCAUGGGAUGGGGUCACUUGUGACCACCUAAAUGCUCAUGUUAUUGCCCUUGACUUGAGCUGCAGUUGGCUAUCUGGCAACUUCCCUUCCAAUACCACUCUCUUCCUUCUUCCUCACCUUCAAAAACUCAACCUUGCCUACAAUCAUUUCAAUCAUUCCAAAAUUCCAUCCGAGUUCGGUCGGGUUUACAAGCCUAUUCUACCUCAACCUUUCUAAUACAUGGUUUGCAGGAGAAGUCCCAUCCCAAGUCUCGCACCUGUCAAAAUUGGUUUCACUUGAUCUCUCCUCUGAGUUUGGUGAACAAACAAUUGACAAACAUGCUCUGGAGGGACUUGUUCACAACCUAACCGAGGUCAGACAUCUGUUUUUGGAUGGAAUGGACAUGUCUUCUGUUAAUGCUCAUGUCUUCAUGAAUCUAUCCUCUUCUCUAAGGUCUCUCAGUCUUGCUUAUUGUGAUUUGCAAGGAAAAUUCCCAAAAAACAUUUUUGAUUUGCCAAACCUCAAUCUCCUCAACUUGAGAGGCAACCAAAACCUCAAUCUUGAUCCUUUGAAGUUCAAUCGGAGCAGCAAUCUUGAACAUUUGGAUCUGUCGUGGAUGUCCUCCUCUACAGAAUCCAUUGAUUCAGUUGAUAAUCUACAGGCCUUAAAGUACUUAGCUCUAUCAGGAAAUUCUUUCUUUCAACGAUUGUCUGUCUCAAUCACAAAAUUAUCUUAUUUGGAGUACUUGACACUUGAAGGCGCAAAUUUUUUUGGAGGAUUGCCUGACUCGAUGGGGAAUCUCGUGUCCUUGAAGUGUUUAGACUUGAGAUCAAACAAAUUGAGUGGACAAAUUCCAUUGUCAAUUCUAAACCUAACGCAGUUGGAAUACUUGGAUAUAUCUGAAAAUUCAUUAGAAGGUUCCAUUCCAGAUGAGGUAACCGCUUUUCCUAAUCUAAAACAUUUAGACUUAUCUGACAAUUUACUCAAUGGAACACUUCCGUCAUGGUUGUGUACUGUUCCCUCCUUAAAGAUAAUAUUUCUCUUUCAAAAUCAAUUCAGUGGGCAUAUCAAAGAAUUCCAAUCCAAAUCACUAGAAUUGAUAGUGUUACAGAAUAAUAAACUCCAAGGUCCUCUUCCAUCUUCAAUAUUCCAACUUCUCAAUCUUACAUCGCUUGCUUUAUCCUCAAAUAAUCUUAGUGGUGUCAUAGAGUUUAGCAUGUUCUCAAACCUUCCAAAUCUCGAAUAUCUUGACCUUUCAUAUAACAGCCUAUCCUUAACAUCUAAUACUACUUCUACUGUUAAUCAUAUAUUGCCUAAUCUUACAGACGUACUUUUGUCAUCUUGCAAUCUUAGUGAAUUCCCCCAAUUUUUGAAAGGGCUUAAAAGUUUGGAAAGGUUAGACCUCUCUUGCAACAAAAUUGAAGGCAAGAUUCCACAGUGGAUGCAAGAGGUGGGGAAUGUCUCUUUGACUUACUUCAACGUAUCUCACAACUCUUUGACAGAAGUUGAGCACUUUCCAUGGAAGAAUAUUGCAUUUCUUGACUUAAGCUCCAAUUUGGUCAGUGGAAAUCUUCCGAUUCCAGCUUCGACGAUCAGAGUCUUUCUGAUCUCAAAUAAUAGUUUCAAUGGAGAGGUCUCUUCUUUAAUAUGCAAUGCCAGUUCUCUUCAAAUUCUUGAUUUGUCCCACAAUAACUUGAGUGGAACAAUUCCGCAAUGUUUCGGAAAUUUGAGCGACAGCCUUGAAUUCUUGAAUCUGAAGAAGAACAAGUUUUAUGGGACGAUUCCUCCAACAUUUGCAGAGGGAUGCCAGUUGACUAAUUUCAACUUAAAUGGAAAUCUGUUAGAAGGGCCUUUGACACCAUCCAUCCUUAAUUGUAGAGGUCUGGAAGUGCUAGAUCUUGGUAACAACAAGAUCAAUGAUACAUUUCCUCAUUGGUUGGGAAAUCUUCCAUAUUUGCAAGUUCUUGUAUUGAAGUCAAAUCAUAUGCAUGGUUCUUUGCGUGUCAAUAGCUCCAAGUCUAGCCCCUUUUUCUCUAAAAUCCAAAUUUUUGACCUCUCAAGUAAUUAUUUUUCUGGACCCCUACCUGUGAGGUACAUCAACAGCUUCAAGGCUAUCAGAAAUCUAGAGAAGAUUCGUAGUACAGUGUCGUACAUGGGGGUGAAUGGUCGGAAUGGUAGUGGCUUCUAUACCUAUUCCAUUGGAAUUGUUAUGAAAGGACAAGAUAUGGAAUUGGUGAAAAUUUUCACCAUGUGGAUGAUCAUUGAUCUAUCAAACAAUCAGUUUGAAGGGGGUAUUCCAGAGGUUUUUGGAAAGCUUAACUUACUGAAAGGGCUCAACCUUUCUCAUAAUAACCUUAGUGGUGGUAUCCCCACCUCAAUAGGGAAUUUGACAAGUCUUGAAUGGUUGGACCUAUCUUCAAACAGGUUGUCUGGGACGAUUCCAAAUAGAUUGGCAGAUCUGGCAUUUCUUUCGUCCUUCAAUGUUUCUGAAAAUCAACUCCAUGGUCAGAUUCCUCAAGGAAAACAAUUCAACACAUUUGGAAAUGAUUCAUAUCAAGGGAAUAAGGGACUAUGUGGGUUUCCAGUCUCGAAAGGUUGCAACAUCAUUGAGCCAGCACCUCCAAAUGUGCUUGAAAAAGAUGGCUCAAAAUCAAACAUUACUUUUGGUUGGAAAGUGGUGUUGAUAGGUUAUGGAUGCGGAGUGGUGUUCGGAAUGUCCGUGGGAUAUGUUGUUUUCCAAACUGGUAAGCCGAAAUGGUUGGUGAAUUUGGUUGAAAUCCAACAUGAGAAGAUGCGAAGAAGAAAGUCAAAGGAUGGCAGUCGCAGCAAUGGACGAAGAAGGAUCUAGUUAGUGGAAAUGGUGUUCAAGUGUUGAUGUUGUAUCUUCAUAAUUUCUUGUUUUGAAGUCUUUCAAUUUUUUUCCUAUGGUGAAAGGUUGCAUUGCCAUGCAUCUGUCUUUAUUAUUGUAACAAUUCAUCUAUAUUUCAUUGCAUUACGUCCUAUAACAUUUUGUAUGGUUCAACCAUUUAUAUCUUCUUUCAUGACUUCCAUUUUUGAGUCUCAAUAAUCUCUGCAUUCAAGAUUUUGUCAGCUUAUUAAUUGGUGGAUCAAUAAUCUUCAUGCUCAUCUCAUCAUCUUUUUCUCGAGUUUCUUCUGUGUGGAAAAUAAUUUGACAUUCUGCAAAUUUCCACAAUGCUUGUGGAUUACCUUUGGUUAACAGCUAUACAUAUAAAGGAAGAAAACAAGACCAUGUCCAAAUUUCCAAAAAUUAGCCAUUGAUUUUUGAACAGUUAAACUUUCGUAUUCUAUUUUUUAAAAUUGUAAAUUCUCAAAUAAUGUAAAUUAGUCCUAAAACUCAAGUUUUGAAAUCUUUACAAUUUAACCCCUUAUAGUUUCAAACUUUACUGUUUUAUACUCAACUUUCUAAAUUUUCAUAUUUCAUGAUCAUAUAAUUUAGUUACUACAUCAAUAUUUGAGAUUUCACUACUCAAACCCUUACUUCAUUUCGGUCGUUACUUCAAUUUUAUCAAAUUACAUCAUUUUUCAAUUUGAAUGCAUUGAUGUGAAAUUGAGGGACCACUAAACAAUGUUGAUGAGAGUUUAGGCAAAAUUGGUGGAUCCGAUCUCCUUAGUAAUUUCUUUGUGGAAGUACCUACUUUCACAAUGCAAACUUGGAUAGUUUGUGGUGGACGAUGAUGAAUCAUUUCACAGUCAAACACAUAAUUUUUAAACACAAAAUUAACGAUAUAUUGAAAUCAUUAUUGAAAUUAUAAUCAAAAUUAAUACAUGUUCUUUUUAUUAGCUUAAGGGCGUAAAAACCCUUCAAAAUUUUCAAAAAAAAAAAAAAUUUAAGUCCUUUUUUUCUACUCAAUUGAGCACUUAAACUUUUAAAAUGUAUCAAAAAUAUCUUUACACUUCUUCAAAAAAAGCAAUUAAACCCCUUUUUUUUUCCGCUCAAUUGGGUACUUGAACUUUCAUAAUGCAUAAAAAAAACCUUAAAUUUUUUUUUCAAAGAAACAAUUAAGCCUCUAUUUUUUUCCCACUCAAUUGGGUACUUGAACUUUCAUAAUGCAUCAAAAAGGCCUUUAUUUUUUUUCAAAAAAGCAAUUAAGCCCCUACUCUUAUUAAAAAUUAGAAAAAAUCAUAAAAAUAAUAAAGUUCAAGUACCCAAUUGAGUGCCAAAAAAUAAAGUAGGGGCCUAAUUGCUUUUUUUUGAAAAUGUUUGAGGGUCUUUUUGAUGUAUUUUGAAAGUUCAAGUACCCAAAUGAGUGCAUAAAAAGAACAGGGGUUUAGUUGCUAUUUUUGAAAAAGUUUGCACCCUUAAACCUCUUUUCUUUUUCUUUUUCAUAUGUGGCCUUGUUUGCUACAACUUAGUUGCUAAGUUAAAGGGAGUGAAUAGAGCACCAUUUUCUUCUUCUGCGUGGAAAAUUAAGUUGGCAUUAUGCCAAUUUCCACAUUCAUACAUACAAAGGAAGCAAGAGCAAGUCAAUAUACUUUGUAAUCUCAUCAAUUCUAAUUUUUAAAGUGUUGUUUACUACACACUUAGGGACCAUAUAUGUAUAUAUAUACAUUGCAGUCUGGGUCUUUGUCGUGUUUUGUUGGUUGGCUAUGGCCUUCUUGUUGUUUCCACUGUCUGCGGUGUUUGUUUCUAAGUCAUAUGUGGCCCUGUUUGCUACAACUUAGUUGCUAAGUUAAAGGGAGUGAAUAGAGCACCAUUUUCUUCUUCUGCGUGGAAAAUAAGUUGGCAUUAUGCCAAAUUCCACAUUCAUACAUAUAAAGGAAGCAAGACCAAGUCAAUAUACUUUCUAAUCUCAUCACUUCUUCUUUCUUUAGGGAGUUCAAGUGAAAUACAAAUUUUUUCACAUCCAAUCUCAUAAAUAAUCCGUCUUUGAACUUUCACCAAAAAAUAUUAAAUACCCAUUCACUUCAAUUCUACUAUUCUUAAAUCAUUAAAGUUUUGUGGAAAAUAUGCUUCUUGGAUAAAAUUAUUCAACACACAUGCCUUGAAUUUUAUGCAAAUAAAAUAAAUGAAUAUAGGCCACACAUGCUUUGAAUUUUUAAGUAGUCCAUAAUUUUGUUCGUUUGUGUGCAAAAUUCUACAUUGCUUGACAGCCAUACAUACUAAGUAAAUAGACACCCACAUUGUUUACAUAUUAUGAGGAAGAAGACCAAGUCAAUCUACUUUGUAAUCUCAUCAAUCUUAAUUUUUUCAGUUGUUUAGGGAGUUCAAAUGAAAUACAAAAUUUUGAAAAAAAAAUGUAUCCAAUUUUGUGAAUGAAAAAUUUAUGGUAAAAAGGAUUUGGUAUGGAUACUUCAGCCCGGGUAGCAAUACUCAGGGUAAGUUUAUCAAUACAUUGCUUUUGGUUGGAAAGUGGUGUUGAUAGGUUAUGGAUGCGGGGUAGUGUUUGGAAUGGCCAAAAUAUAGCAAUCGCAUCAGUGGAUGAAGAAGGAUCUAGUUGGUGCAAAUGAAGUUAAAGCAUUUCUGCCGUCUCUUCAUAAUUUCUUGUUUGGUAGUCUGUCAGAAAGUUUUUCCUAUGGUGAAAAGUUUGAGUUGCAUUUAUAAAAUUUCCACUGUCAAAAGAUUCGAUUGCACUGCAGGGUAACAUAUUUAAGAUUGGAUUACACUGUCAAAAGAUUGCAGCAACGAUGAGAUUAAUCCAAUUACAGGAAUUGGUAUCCUAAAUGGCUUUUUGGUACGUAGCUUCAUUGACGGUACAAACUAGUUAAAAUUUCCAGCAUUCAUGUGUUUGUUUUCCCUCAAGUAAACGUAGUCAAUACUGCAAAUGGUGUGGAAGUACUGUACAUUGUGGCCCAAAUGUCCAAAAUUUCCACAUUGCAUGUAAAUUAAGUUUGCGUGAGAGAGAUAGGAGGAAGCAACAGCAAGUGUGAAGUCAAUAGACAACUGAUAGUCUUAGUCUUUUUUUGUCGAGUUAAAGUGUAGUCAAUAGACAAUUGAUAGUCUUAGCCCUUUUUGUGGAGUUAAAAGUAUAGUCAAUAAACAAUUGAUAGUUAAAUUUGUAGCAUUCUUCUUCCUCUUUAUUCUUUUGUGUGGAAAAUUAUUUGGGACCAAACUUGACGUGUUAUAAGGAAGAAGACUUUGUAAUCUCAUGAAUGUUAAUUAUUUUACUUCUUUGGUAAAAAAAGUAACCAAUUUUAUGAAUGAAAAAUAUUAUGUGGUAAAAAGGAAGUAGUUGUUCAUCACUAACAAUAUGAUGAUUGUGGAAAUACAAAAAAUCCCAUAUAUGUGUUGAAUUCUGCAUAAUAUAAAUGUCCUGCAUUGCAUGUGAAUUCUGCAAUAGACCAAACUUUACGUGUUAUAGUCCUUUAAACUGAGUUAAUGAAAAGUAACCAUUCUUAUCAAAUUUAGUUAUACUCUUAAUUUAUAACAAAGGAAAGAGUAAUUUGAGUUUAACUCAAAGGUUAAUAUGUCAUCAAUGGGUGAUGGCGUGGCGCUACCAUGUCAGCGAUUAUUUUCUUCUUUGAAUUAAGGUGAUUUCACCAAUUUUAGUUUACUUUUUUACUUCAAUUUAGGUUUAUGCUUAUUAGCUUCAAAGAUUCUAAGUGGGUGCCACAAUCAAAGGGUGAGUAAAAAGGGUUAAAAAUGAUUUUUUUAAAAUUUUUUUAUUUUUAUUAAAAAUUUAGAAUUAGAAUUAGACAAAUUUUGUAAAAGUUAAGGGCUAACUUUAUUGAUUUUUUUUUCAGAAUUCGAACUAAAAUUACAUUUUGUAAAAAGAGCUAAAUUUGUUGAGUUUUUUAUAUUUAGGAUCAAAUUGAUAGAAUGUGUAAAUAUUAGAGGUUAAAUUUGUUAUUAGAUCAAUAAAAAAAACCCACAUUAGCUUUGCGUCACUCAUCUAACGACAACUAAAGGGAGAGUUAUUAAAAUAUUUAAUUUCAAAAAGUUUAGCAACUAAAUUGGAAAAUUUAAUAGUUGGGUGACUAUUUUUGCAGUUUACUACUUUUUUGGUCACCUGACUAUUAAGUGACACUUUUUAGUUGGUAUAAUAAUAAUUUUAGUCCUCAAUUUUUAUACUUUCUGUCAAUUUGACUCUGAUUAUAUAAAAUGAUUACAAAAGUGAAAUUCUUUUUAAAAUUUACAAAAUUCUAAAAAUUAAAAAUUAAAUGAAAGUAGAUAAAAAUUUCAAAUAUAAACAAAGUGAGAGAAAAUGAGGGAAAUAUUAUUUUUAAACCCUCCAACUUUUCUUUGUAUUAUCGUAAAGAAAUAUCUAAUAUCCAUUCUUUUAGAAAACAUAGAAAAAAGUAAAAAAAAAAAGAUUCAGUAAAAUUAUCUGUAUAUAAUCUGCUUUUAUAAUUUGGGUUUUUAAAAAUAAAUUUAAAUGAAUUGAAAAUUCGAAUUGAGUUUGAAAAAUAAAAUUUUGUGGUAUAUUUUAUAUUUUUGCUAGAAAAAUGGCAUCAAAGUUGAUUUUGUAAGCUUUUGUAAUAUCAGUUACGGAUGUUCUUCAAGGGCAUGGAACUCAACUUGAAAAUUUUACUAAUUUGGUUGCAAAAAACAUUGAGGAAGCAUAUAAUGAUCUAACCUUUUUUGUUUUGUUUUGUUUUUAAUUUGUUAUGGGAUUCUAUUGAAUGAUAAUUUUUUUUUUAUUUCCCAUACAUAUUAGUUCUUCAAAAACAACAUAUUCGAGAUUUUAUUUUUCUAGAAUUUUUAUAUAGAAGUUUAUAUUUUUUAAAAUAAAUUUGAGUUUUUUUUAGAAUUUUUAUAUAGAAUCGAGGUAAAUUGGAAAAAAAAAUUAUAAAAACAAAAUACUAAAAUUGUUAUUAUAGCAACUAAAAAGUGUCAUUUAACAAUAGGGUGACCAAAUUGUAACUUUUUUAGUUAAGUGACCAAAACGAAGAUUUACCCAUAGUUUAGUGGCUAAUUAUGUAGUUUACCCUUUCAUAAUUAAAAAAUAGUUGUUAAGUUUUUCUUGUAUUAGAUAACAAUUUAGAUGGUAAAAACCCUCUUUAGUCCCUCUCAAUUUUGAUAUUAAGUAAAAUUGUCCAUUUAAAAAAAAAAUCAAAGCAAUUUAAUAUUUGUUAAUUUCGAAAGUGAGCAACUAAGGACAAUUAAUCACAAUGUCAAUAUUUUCCAUCAAUUGUACAUAUUUUUAUUGGUGUAAUAACAAAUUUAGCUCUCAAAGUUUACACAUUCUGUCAAUUUAGUCUUGAUUUAACAAAUUUAACCCGCAACAAUUACAUAUUCUAUUAACAUUGACACAUAAUAUAUAAACAUUGAGAGCUUAAUUUGUUAUUGUAUCAAUAAAAAUUAUGUACAAUUUACAGAAAGCAUUAACACAAUGAUUAAUUGUCCUUAGUUGCUCCCUUUCAAAAUUGAUCAUGAUUAAAUUGCUCUAAUUUUCUGAGAGGAACCAAUUUGUUCAAUAUAGAAAUUGAGAGGGACGAGAAAUGUGUUUUUUUAUCCAUUUUAGAUACCAACAAGUGUUUGGCAUAGUCGCAAGACAUAUUACAUUCUCAAGGAGAGAAUGCGUAGUCAAACGUUGGAGAUAUCAAUGUUGUGUGGGGUAUCCAAGGAUCUCGAACACGAACUGUAAAACAUAUAUAAAGAAUAAAAAAAUAACAUCUUAAUUUAAAUAAUUAUAAAUUUUAAUUUGAAAAAAGUAUUUUGAGAAACAUAAGUUUUAGAAGUAGUAAAAUUGAAUCGAUAAAACAUGUCCAUUAUAUCAGAAUCAUAAAAAUACAACUUAAUUAAUUUGAAUUUAAACUUAACUCAACUCGACUUGAUUAUAAAAACUGAUAAUUUGAAUUCAAAAUGACAUGAUCUUGAAAUGAUUUGAAUUAAUUGUCAGACCCGAACGACAAAACUCGAAAUGAUGCAAUCCAAAAACACAAAUCAAGUGAACUAAACUACGAAAAAAAAAACCUUACACUGACUCAAAUCCAAAAUAGUUUAAUCCUAAAAUAACCUAAAUUUUAUAUAAUAAAAACUCGAAAUAACCCGAAAAUUUUUAAAUUAAAAUUGAUCCGACCCAAAUUCACACCACCUAAAAUCAAUCGUAACCACCUAAUUAAAAAGCAUGAAAUGAAAUGAUGUAAAGAGAAAAUCAGAGAAAACCAAAUAGAAAGUAACAAGCCUUUUUCAGAAUUGAAAGCAAAUUCCGUACAUUCACGACAUGCAUAAAACAACAAUGGUUUAUAGAAUUUAAAAAUUUUAGUUUAAUCAUUUAUGUUGGUUGUAGUUUCCGUUAGCUUAAUCAACAUGUUAAAUUACUAAAUUUUGACAAAAAAUACUUACGAGUUUAAUGAUUGUACCGAGAUUUUUAAAUAAAAAAGUCGGAAGACUAAUUUCUAACCUUUUAAAUAUAGGGACUAAAAGCAUCUUUUAACUUUGAUAUUAUUAUUAUAAGCAGGGAUAAUGUCACCUUUGGCAUCUGUACUUUCAUAAAAUGUCUAGUGGUACAAGUACUUUGAAAAUAUAUAAUGUGGUACCUGAACUAUCAAUAGGUGUUAUUAUUAUGGUACAUGUACUUUGAAAAUGUUUAAUGUGGUACCUAAACUAUCAAUAUAUAUUUUAUUAUGAUACUUGAUAAAGACGGACUAUGGUGGCUUAGGGGGCUCUUUGUCCCGCCACCCUUGCAAAAAAAAAAAUCGAAGAAUUUUGUUUUUUCCUUUAAAAUUUUUAGAAAAUUUCAAUUAGGCCCUCAAAAUUUUUGAAAAUUUUCAUUAUACCUUUUAAUUUUUUUGAAAAUUUUAAUUAAGCACUCUUAAAUUUUGAAAAUUCUCAUUAAUCUCACAAAAAUUUUAAAAUUUUUUAUUAGACCCCCAAUUUUUUUUAAAAAAAAUCUUAUUAAACCAUUAAAUUUUUAGCAAAUUUUACCUGCCCCCUCCCCCCCAAAAAAACCUAGUCCCAACUACUAGUAUCCGCCAUUGUUACUUGGUAUUAACACUGUUAGAAAAUUGCUAAAUCAACCAAUAAAAAUUUGACACAUAGAACCCUUUUUUUAAUUAUCAAGUCCACGUGGAUAAUAUAAUAGUGAAAAACUAAAUAAAAAAUAAUUAAAUCUGCUUAUUUACGAAAAUGAUGGAUUUAGUCCUUAUACCUUAAUUUGAUCAAUUUUAGUCAUUGUAUUUUUUGAAUUGGUCAAUUUUAAACUAUUUACUUUUUGAAGUUUGAAAUUUUAGUCUUGAUCCAAAUAAUAAUAAUAAUUAAAUCUGCUUAUUUAAAUUCAAUUAUUAGUUUUGUAUUAUGUAGAUAGUUAUAAAUUUAGGGUGGGUUUGGAUGGGCUGUGCUUUUACCUGCAGUUAGUGUAAAAAUAGCGGCGGUGGUGAGAUUAGAUAUCCAAGGUACCUAAUUUUUAUUUUGGCCAUAAGUACUACUAAAACUAUUCUUCCGUUACCCAUUUUAUACCAAAAUGUUAUAUCGGCUAAAAAGAUUCCAACAAAUAAUAGAUUGUAUGUCAUAUAAACUUUUUUAAAAAAUCAUUAAUUAAUUAAUUUUUAUAUUUUUCUUUCUUAUUCCUUUAUAAUGUUUGACAAUGUCGAUAAUGCUUGAAAUUGGCCCACUUGAGGUCGAAACGCUGGUGAUUAAUUUUGGUUUUGAAUUUCACCACCUACUUCUCUGACCAGAGGGGAUAGAAAAAGUUCUUUCAUCGAUCAAAACUAGUAUUUUCAAAAACAGACUGAUUCUACGGGUUGGAUAGGAAAUCGGUUUGGAAAUAGGGGUUGAAUCGAUUGACUUGCGAACAAAAACAAAUCGGUUGAACUAAGCUAAAAAAACUGGUUGAAUAAGUUCUCUCUUUUUAUAUAUAUAUAAAUAAUAAUAGACUUUGUUUUUACUACAUGUCAAUUUUUAAUUGGUUAAUUUUUUUUUCAUAUAAAUUGAACAAUUUGACUAAUGACGGAGGUACCAAAUUAUAGUCUAGGUACCAAUUUAUGGGUUAAGCCUAUUUAUAAAAUAGACUUUUGACAGUUUGACUAAUGGCGGUAGUAACUUGGGAAAAAAAAAGUAGUUUAUGUACCACUUGUGACAAAAAAUAAGAUUAGGUACCAACAUGGGAAAAUGAGUAUAAUUUAGAUACCGAUUUAUGAGUUAAGCCUAAUAUAUUUGUCGCAUAAUUUUUUGAAAAUAACAGAACUUAAUAAAUUUAACGGUUAUUGUUUGGUGAUUACUAAAAUUUUAAAAUUUGAAAAGUACAUGAACUAAAAAUGACCAAAUUAAAAUAUAAAUAUUAAGUCCACAACUUUUGCAAAGUACAAGGACUAAUUGCAGAAAUUAACCUAAAUUUCAUAUGGGUCAAUUACAAAAAUAAUCACUAAACUAUCCCUUUGGUUCUAUUCUAGCCACUCAACUAUAUAGGUGCUCAUGAGCUUGGCCAGGUCAGGCCUAAGUAAGGGUGAGCAUUCGAUUGAAUCGAAAAUUUUCGAGUUAAUCGAGUUUUCGAAUCUCAUUUUAUCAUCCUAACUUUAUUUGAAGUUUUCUCGAAUCGAGUCGAGUGAGAUGGAAUUCGAAUCGAAUCGAAUCGAAUCGAAUAUAUUUGUUCGAGUUAAAUUUUAAAAAAUAAUUUUGGGUCCUUGUAACCAUUGUCACCCAUCGUAAUAAAAUUUGUCCACCUUAAUCAAAUUUUUUAUUAACUUUCAUCACUUCAUAAUUUAUUUAUUAAUUUUUUAUAUACUGGUUAGCUUCUUUGCUUGCUUAGUUGUCUUCAGAUUCUUGUCACUAUGUAUUUUAGAAUUAAAAAAUAUAUUAAAUGUAAAAAUAUGAUUUUUUAAUAAAAGUUAUUUUAAAAAUAAAAUGUGAAAUUGAUACCAAUAUAAAAUUUCAACACGAAUAUUUUAAGGCAUAAUUAAUAAUUCAAUUUUAAUAUAAAUAUUCAAUAUGACUAAACAAUUCAAUAAUAUAAAUAAUAUAAAAUGUGAAAUUUAAUUUAAUAAUAUAAAUAGUAGAUAUAAAUAAAAUUAUUGCUAUUUAUGUUUAGUGAUUUUUUUGGAUAAUUUUGAUUUUUUAUUUGAGAAUAAAAGGUGAGAAGUAAAAGUUUAGGGGAAAAAUAAAAAGUUUUGGGGAAUAAAAGUUUGAGAGAAAGUAAAUAGGGGGAGUAAAAUUUUGGAGGGAAAAUAUUUAAAAAAAAUUGGAGGGGGGAGGGUUUGGGAUAGAUGGGAGGGGAAUAAAAGUUUUAGGGGAAAAGUGGGAGGGAGUAAAAAUUUUGGGAGAAAAUAAAAGGUUUUGAGGGUUUUGGGGAGUAAAAUAUUGAGAAAAAAUAAAUAGGAGAGUAAAAUUUUGGUGGGAAAUGGAUUUUGGGUAGAUUGGGGGGUUGGGAGGGGAGGGGAGUAAAAGUUUUGGGGGGAAAGUGGGAAGGAGUAAAAGUUUUGAGGGAAAAGUAAAAAGUUUGGGAGUUUGGGGUAAAAAUGUAAAAUAUUAUAGUUUGAUAUUCGAAUUAUUCGAAUUAUUCGAGUUAUUCGAAUUCGAAAACUCAACUCGAUUCGAACUCGAAAUUCGAAAAAAAAUUCGAGUUGAUUCGAAUAACUCGAUUCGUUUAACUCGAAAUUUGAAUUUUUUUCAAUUUUUUCGAGUCGAAUCGAGUUUUGCUCACCCCUAGUUGCAAGUGCAACUUGCGUGGUGGCUGCCAGAAGGACUGAAUCGUAAAUGUAGCAAAAGUUUUGGGGCAAAAAUGUAAUUUUGAGAAAGUUUAGGGUCAAAAUAUAAUUUUAAAAAAUAUUAAGGGUUAAAAUAUAAUUUUAUAAAAAUUUAAGGGUCAAAAUGAAAUUUUAGAAAAGUUCAGAGGUCAAAAUACAAUUUUUAAAUUUUUUUUUAAAAAAAAAACACGAAAUUAUUCCCACAAAAUUAAGUGAUUACACGUAACUUUUCAAUGUAAAAGAAAAAAAAGACUGUAACACCAAUGUUGUGGUGUUAUUUGUUGCCUAUAAAUACCAUUCCUAUUCUUCAUCUUCCUCUGCAAACAUAACAUGGCCCCCUAUCUCUUUCUCUGCCUAUUCCUCUUCUUUCCCCGUCUUUAUGCUUCUUUUUCUUCUUCAGGAUAUCAGUCCUGCUCUUCAUUAAUCCAGUUUAAGGACUCUUUUUCCAUAACAGAGGAUGCUUCUUCUGAUUGCAAUGAGAUUGCUGGCCUUAAAUCUUAUCCCAAGACAAAUUCAUGGAAGGAGGGUACAGAUUGCUGCUCAUGGGAUGGGGUCACUUGUGACCACCUAAAUGCUCAUGUUAUUGCCCUUGACUUGAGCUGCAGUUGGCUAUAUGGCAACUUCCCUUCCAAUACCACUCUCUUCCUUCUUCCUCACCUUCAAAAACUCAACCUUGCCUACAAUGAUUUUAAUCUUUCCAAAAUUCCAUCCGAGUUCGGUCGGUUUACAAGCCUAUUCUACCUCAACCUUUCCCAUACAGAGUUUGAAGGAGAAGUCCCAUCCCAAGUCUCCCACCUGUCAAAAUUGGUUUCACUUGAUCUCUCCUCUCGGAUUGAUUACUCUGGGCAAGUUACAAUUGACAAACAUGCUCUGGAGGGACUUGUUCACAACCUAACCGAGGUCAGACAUCUGUUUUUGGAUGGAAUGGACAUGUCUUCUGUUAAUGCUCAUGUCUUCAUGAAUCUAUCCUCUUCUCUAAGGUCUCUCAGUCUUGCUUAUUGUGAUUUGCAAGGAAAAUUCCUAAAAAACAUUAUUGAUUUGCCAAACCUCAAUCUCCUCAACUUGGGACGUAACCAAAACCUCAAUCUUGAUCCUUUGAAGUUCAAUCGGAGCAGCAAUCUCGAACAUUUGGAUCUGUCGUGGAUGUCCUUCUCUACAGAAUCCGUUAAUUCAGUUGAUAAUCUACAGGCCUUAAAGUACUUAGAUCUAUCAGGAAAUUCUUUCUUUCAAGGAUUGUCUGUCUCAAUCACAAAUUUAUCAUCUUUGGAGCAAUUGAUAAUUUCAGGCGCAAAUUUUUUUGGAGGAUUGCCUGACUCGAUGGGGAAUCUUGUGUCCUUGAAGUUUUUAGUUCUCUCCGAUUCCAACUUUUCAGGACCGCUUCCAAGAUCACUGGGAAACCUCUUUCAACUCAAGUGUUUAGACUUGAGAUCAAACAAAUUGAGUGGACAAAUUCCAUUGUCAAUUCUAAACCUAACGCAGUUGGAAUACUUGGAAAUAUCUGAAAAUUCUUUAGAAGGUUCCAUUCCAGAUGAGGUAACCGCUUUUCCUAAUCUAAUAUAUUUAUACUUAUCUGACAAUUUACUCAAUGGAACACUUCCGUCAUGGUUGUAUACUGCUCCCUGCUUAAAGGAAAUAUAUCUCUCUCAAAAUCAAUUCAGUGGGCAUAUCAAAGAAUUCCAAUCCAAAUCACUAGAAUUGAUAGCGUUAGAGAGUAAUAAACUCCAAGGUCCUCUUCCAUCUUCAAAAUUCCAACUUCUCAUCCUCAAGUAAUCUCAGUGGUGUCAUAGAGUUUCGCAUGUUCUCAAACCUUCCAAAUCUAAAACUUCUUGACCUUUCAUACAACAGCCUAUCCUUAGCAUCUAAUACUACUUCUUGUGUUAACCAUAUAUUGCCUAAUCUUACAGACUUACGUUUGUCAUCUUGCAAUCUUAGUGAAUUCCCCCAAUUUUUGAAAGGGCUUAAAAGUUUGAAAAGGUUAGACCUCUCUUGCAACAAAAUUGAAGGCAAGAUUCCACAGUGGAUGCAAGAGGUGGGGAAUGGCUCUUUGACUUACUUAAACGUAUCUCACAACUCUUUGACAGAAGUUGAGCACUUUCCACGGAAGAAUAUUGAAGUUCUUGACUUAAGCUCCAAUUUGAUCAGUGGAAAUCUUCCGAUUCCAGCUUCGACCAUCAAUGUCUUUUUGAUCUCAAAUAAUAGUUUCAAUGGAGAGGUCUCUUCUUUAAUAUGCAAUGCCAGUUAUCUUAAAAUUCUUGAUUUGUCCCACAAUAACUUGAGUGGAACAAUUCCGCAAUGUUUUGGAAAUUUGAGCAACAGCCUUCAAUUCUUGAAUCUGAAGAAGAACAAGUUCUAUGGGACGAUUCCUCCAACAUUUGCAGAGGGAUGCCAAUUGACUAAUUUCAACAUAAAUGGAAAUCUGUUAGAAGGGCCUUUGACACCAUCCAUCCUUAAUUGUAAUGAACUGGAAGUGCUAGAUCUUGGUAACAACAAGAUCAAUGAUACAUUUCCUCAUUGGUUGGGCAGUCUUCCAUUUUUGCAAGUUCUUGUAUUGAAGUCAAAUCAUAUGCAUGGUUCCUUGCGUGUCAAUAGCUCCAAGUCUAGCCCUUUUUUCUCUAAAAUCCAAAUUUUUGAUCUCUCGAGUAAUUAUUUUUCUGGACCUCUACCUGUGAGAUACAUCAACAGCUUCAAGGCUAUCAUAAAUCUAGAUAAGAUUGGGAGUACAAUGUCGUACAUGGGGGUGUAUGCUCAGAGAGGUAGUGGCUUCUAUACCUAUUCCAUUGGAAUUGUUAUGAAAGGACAAGAUAUGGAAUUGGUGAAAAUUUUCACCAUGUGGAUGAUCAUUGAUCUAUCAAACAAUCAGUUUGAAGGGUGUAUUCCAGAGGUUUUUGGGAAGCUUAACUUACUGAAAGGGCUCAACCUUUCUCAUAACAACCUUCAUGGUGGUAUCCCCACCUCAAUAGGGAAUUUGACAAGUCUUGAAUGGUUGGACCUAUCUUCAAACAGGUUGUCUGGGACGAUUCCAAAUAGAUUGGCAGAUCUGGCAUUUCUUUCGUCCUUCAAUGUUUCUGAUAAUCAGCUCCAUGGUCAGAUUCCUCAAGGCAAACAGUUCAACACAUUUGGAAAUGAUUCAUAUGAAGGAAACAAGGGAUUAUGUGGAUUUCCAGUCUCGAAAGGUUGCAACAUCAUUGAGCCAGCACCUCCAAAUGUGCUUGAAAAAGAUGGCUCAAAAUCAAACAUUACUUUUGGUUGGAAAGUGGUGUUGAUAGGUUAUGGAUGCGGAGUGGUGUUCGGAAUGUCCGUGGGAUAUGUUGUUUUCCAAACUGGUAAGCCGAAAUGGUUGGUGAAUUUGGUUGAAAUCCAACAUGAGAAGAAGCAAAGACGAAAGUCAAAGAAAGGCAAUCGAAGCAAUAGACGAAGAAGGAUCUAAGUACAGCAAAUGAUGUUCAAGAAUUAGUGUUGUAUUUUCAAAAUUUCUUGUUCUGUAGACCGUUUUGCCCAUGGUGAAGGGUUGCAUUGGUAUGUGUAUGUCUUUAUUAUUGUACCAAUUCCUGUCUUUCAUUGCAUUUCGUACUAUCUGUAAUGGUUUGUUUGAGUGUAACAUUUUGUAUGGUAUUGUUGUUUAUGUCUUCUUUCAUGACUUUCCAUUUAGUCUCGAUAAUCUUUGCUACUGCUCAGUAAAGGAGGAAGGAGAAUAAAAUGUCUCAAUUUAUGUCAAUUUAUGCUUGCAGAUUUGACGUGGAAUGUUGUUGAACUGAAGGUUGUUUAACUUUUGUCUUCUAAGCUAUACAUGAACAUAUGGGAUGUGACAAAUAUUAUUUUAGCUUUUGCUUAUGAAAUGUUGAAAUAGUGAGUUUAUAUUCCUUGAUUAAUAAAAAGUGAGAUGGAGAUAGUCAAACCUCAAUUUCCACAUUGAAAUUGAAUCCAAACAUUAAUUGGUGGAUCACAUGUCUUGUAUUCUGUCAAGUUAAAGGGAGUGAAUAGAGCACCAUUCUUCUUCUGCGUGGAAAAUAAGUUGGCGUUAUGCCAAUUUUCACAUUCAUACAUAUAAAGGAAGCAAGACCAAGUCAAUAUACUUUGUAAUCUCAUCAUUUCUUCUUCAUUCUUUAGGGAGUUCAAAUGAAAUACAAAUUUUUGGUAAAUCAACUCUUCUUUUUUAUGAAUAAAAAUUAUAUGGUAAAAAGGAAGUGGUGUUAAUAAUAAUAAUAAUAAUAAUAAUAAUAAUAAUAACAACAAUACAAAACUAAUAAAGCAAUUUAGUCUAUGAUUUGCACAAUGAUUAAUGUAGCGACCUAAAAAUUUAGGCACGAGCGCUAAUUGAAGUGAUUAUUGAAAAUUUGAAAACAGAAUCUCGAUUUUAUUUGAAAAAGGAGUCGCUAUCGAUCUUUUUUUCUAGGUGUGAUCGGACACCUAAUAAAUUCUCUUUUUAGAAGAAAAAUUUAUUUUUAAAUUUUUCUAAAAAUAGGUAAUUUUUCUAAAAAAUUUAGGGGUCAAAAUGUAAUUUUUUUUUUUUUGAAUUUUUUUUGAAAUUUAAAAAAAUAUAUAUAUAAACACGACAAAACCCGGACAAAAUUUAGUGCUUACAAUUAAUACCUAAUUUGAUCCUUGAAUUAUAGUUCAAAAAGUAUUUUUAUAUUUUUAAAUUUUCAUAAAAAUAAUUGUAUCAAAAUUUAAAAAUCUUAAAAAUAAAUACAAAUUUUAUAUAAAAAAUCAAUUGGCCCAAGAAAAAAAAUUUACCAACUAAAUUUUCCAUAUCCAAACUCAUAAAUAAUUCUUCUUUGAACUUUCACAAAAAAAUAUUAAAUACCCUUUCACUUUAUCAUUAUAAAUAUAAUAUACAUUUUUUUCCUUCUUUUUCAUGUAGAUCAGCUUCAACUCUACUAUUCUUAGAUCAUUAUAAAUAUAAUAUAUGUUUUAUUUACAGCUGAAAGUAAAACCUUGAGUUGAAAUUUGGCAGAAAAAAUUGUGGGUUUGGAGAAGAAGAAGAGCACUUUGUAUUUAAAUUUAAAAAAUCAAAAAUUUCAAAACUGAAAGUUACUCAAAACCCUAAACAAUCUAAUAAUUGGAGUUAUAGAAAAGAAAUAUGAGUUUAGAAAUAAAUAAAACAAAAUAAAUUUGCAAAACAAUUUCUAGGCAAAACAACAUGAAGUUGUUGAUGUGAUUGAAGGUGUUCUUCAACGGUGGAAAACAAAUAGAAUUUAAUUUGAAAAUUUUAAGAUUUUUUAAAUAAUAAAAAAUUGCAUUAGUUUAAAAACUUUAGUUUUAAUUUUAAGAUAUUUUUAGAUUUAUACAUAUUUAAUUAUUUUUAGAUUUUUUAGAUUUAAAUGAAGUUACAAUUAUUUUUGAAAACGGUACCUCUACAUUUUUGAAGGUACAAGGAAAUAAAAUAUGGAUUUGGUAUCGAUACUUCGGCCCGAGUAUCAAUGCUCGAGGUAAGUUUAUUGAUACCUUGCGAAAGGUACCAAUAAUUUUUUUAUAUUUUGAUAUUUGGUAAGAAACAUAAUGUUAGUUUGGUAUCGAUUUUCCAUGAGAUAUCAAUACCACUUAAAGAAAAUAUCGAUAGCCCUAGGACAGUAUCAAUACCUAUGUAACAGUUUUAGAAAUUUUGCAACUGGGCCCAUUUGUAGGUUUGAUUGAUGUUUUUAAUACCCUUAGUGUAUGUAUGGCAUGUUUUAAUGAUAAGAAGUGGUUGAACGACUACAACUCAUACGUAGGAUUGAAUAAAGAUGAUGAUUGGUUACUUGUGAAAUUGUUUGCUAAGUAAAUGAUGCAUGAUGGUGGUGUAACAUCCUAAUAUUUCGGCUUGGCGACUGAGCCGAGUAUAGGGUGUUACAAUGUGUUCCACAAGUUUCAUCAGCAAUCCUCAAUGCAUCUAAUUAAUUGGGAAAAUUGAGAAAAUAGAAAAAGCUUCAGAUGGUCAAGAAGAUGUAACAUGAUGAGUACCUCUUUGCACCGUCAAGAAUUUUAGUAAGUCUCCAAAUUCAUUCAUUAACCCUCCUUCCUGUUAAAUAUUUAUCAUUAAUUUUAUUAAAUUAAAACAUAAAUUUUUAUAAAUCUAAAGUGUAAUUUAUGAGCCGAGUUAUUCAAUCCAAAAAAAAAAAUCAGCCAAGACUCUUUGGACAAAUUGCUUGAGUAAAACCAGAAAAUGAAUAACAAUUUUGAUGGAUUUUGAUUACAAAUGAAUUGAGGCAUAAUGCCAUUACAUAUACCAUGCAUUCAGCUGGUCAAAAUGAGACAGACAUCACCUAAUCAUCAACCUAACUCCACUAAGUAGCCUUGAAACUUAUGAAAACAUAACUUGCACACAUAGGUACGCUGAUUUAUCAAUCUAUCAGCACCUAAUUACAUCAAACAUGUUACCAACUUAGUUCAAAUCAAACUAAGCAAGAAAACAUUAACUUAAAGUAACAAAAAAUGAACAGCAGCAUGAACUUCAGCUGCAACUGCAUGGCUGGAGCAGCUCUGCUUCUUGUCUGCAUGCCGGCCAACUUCAACAAGAUCUGAGUAAGGCUAAUUUGUCCAGAAGUUGCAUCAUGCAAAACUAUUUAAUGGCUUUUAGGUAGCUUUGUCAACGGCAAAAAAAAUGAGAAAAUUAGUCAAAUUUCUUCCAUUUUUAUCUUUAAAAAUUUGGUUUUGUGCGUCAACAUGAAGUACAUGUGGCACGUACAUGCAAACUGUCUGAUUAUUUAGACAUCUACACUAGUUUUUAAAGGUAAAAAUAGAAGAAAAUUUUAAUAAACAAGACCAAUUAACUCUUUUAUCUAGCAUACAAGAAUUAUUCUAUACAUCUUUCAAUAAAUGGGGAAAAUUACAUCCACACAUUCUCCACAUUUCAGACCUGUAAUUCUAGCCAAUUGGUCACAAGCAUACAUGUCCCAUUUCAAUAUUCAAAGGUCUGCUUUGAUUAUUUUAUUUUGUGUUCUGUUGUCGCCCCAAAAUAGUUCCACUUGGCACAUCUCCAUACAUUUCAAACAUACCAAAAAUCUGCUGGCAAGCAAUACAAGACAAGUUCCAGCCACUUCAACAUUUGGCUCCUGUUCAUUGCCAAAAGAAAAAAAUAAACAUUUUUUAUAUUUAAUUGAAGGUCAAAAACACAUAAAAAGACAACCGGACAGCUAAUAUUUCAUCCAAUCUUCACAACAUGUCUGUGUGCGUGCAGAUCCUUCACUUCCCAGAAGCCUUUAGCGCGUAUUCUAUUAUAAAAUCACAGAUUACUAUUUAAAUGAUAAAUAAAUUAUUUAAAGUAUGAAAAUAUACAUGUUUUUUUUUUAUUGGCUUAAGGGCGUAAAAAAUCCUUAAAUUUUUUUUUUAAAAAAGACAAUUAAAUUUCUCCUUUUUUUACACUCAAUUGAGCACUUAAAGUUUUAAAAUGCAUCAAAAAUACUCUCAAACUUCUUCCGAAAAAACAAUUAAAUCCUUAUUUUCUUUCCCACUCAAUUGGGUGCUUGAACUUUUUCAUAAUAUUUUUUUGGGCGAUUUAAUGAACCAUACAAGUUUCAAGGCUAAAAGAGGCAAAAGAAAAAGAAAAAGAAAAAAAAGCUAAAAUGACUUUUUGUUUGUAAAGUCAAAAAAUACCAAAUAAAUCAUUAUGUCUUUUUAGUUUUAAUUUUUUACUUGAUUAAAAGAGAAAUAAUUAACGAAUGAAAAAUAGCUAUUCCUAAAUAAAUUUAUCAGAAUUUAUAACAAAUGAGAUUUUAGAUUUGAAGUAUGAGGUUAUAUAUAUUAUAUAAGUAUAUGAUGAAGUUGGUUCAGCAUGCAGCAAACUCGACAGCAUGCAGGCCAUCAAGACCAAGUCAUGCAGGAGCUGCUGGAACGAGCUGAACUAUUCCUAUUUUGUUCAACUUGUAACCUUAAGUUAAUGUAAUGUACUUUAGUUCAUUUAGAACUAUGUUAGGUUUAUGAUUGAUGUAUUUUGAUGACAAUUAAGCUGUUAAGUCAGCUUUGUUUAAGUGUGCAAGCUUAGUUUUUCAAGUUUCAAUGUAUUAGUGGUGGUAGGUGAUGAUUAGGUAUCAUUAUGCAGAUUUUGACAAGCAAAUUGCUUGGUUUAUGUAUUGGCAUUAUGCCAUUGUUCAAUGUAUGAAUAGAAUCAGUUUUUGUUCAUCAAUUUCCUCUCCAUUUUCUUAGCUUUUUCUUUCUUUCUUUAACUCGAAAUUGUUUGUUUGCUCAGCAAGUUUUAAGGCUUGCUCGACAAGAUACUUGCUGAGUCUGCUUGAUUCUGUUCUUGCAUCAACAAUUGGUAUCUAGAGCCUAUUUCUUAAGGGAUCUGUUACUCAAUUCCAUGGCUUCAUCAAGCUUUUCACCAGCUGCACCUCAAGUCUUCAAUGGAGAAGGCUAUCACAUAUGGGUGGUCAAAAUGAAGACCUACCUGCAGGCUUUCGAUCUGUGGGAGGUGGUCAACUUUGAUGUUGAACCAGAGCCACUUAGAGCUAAUCCAACAGUGGCUCAGAUCAGGCAGCAUGCUGAUGAAAGGACCAAGAGGCACAAAGCUAUGUCUUGCAUCCAAAACUCAGUGUCUGAUGUGAUUUUCACAAGGAUUAUGGCCUGUGAAUCACCAAAACAGGCCUGGGAUAAGUUGCAGGAAGAGUUUCAAGGGACUGAGAGGACAAGGCAGCAACAGUUGUUAAAUUUGAGGAGAGAUUUCGAGAAUUUGAAGAUGAAGGAAGAAGAAACUGUCAAGCAAUAUUCUGACAGGAUUAUGGCCGUGGUUAACAGCAUCAGGCUCCUUGGAGAGCAGUUCAAUGAAGCUAGGAUAGUGGAGAAGGUUAUAGCAACUCUGCCUGAGAGGUAUGAGGCAAAAAUCUCAUCUCUCGAGGACUCAAGGGAUCUGUCCACCAUCUCCCUGACAGAGUUGAUCAAUGCUCUAUAUGCUCAAGAGCAGAGGAGAGCAAGCAGACUGGAGGAGCACCAAGAAGGUGCCUUUCAGGCAAGAACAAAUACUGCCUACAAAGGCAAGAAGGCCUGGAGAGACAAGCCAAAGAAUGAUGCUGCAAGGAGAGAAGGUCAGACUUGCAAGCACUGUAGAAAGGCUGGUCAUUCAGAAGAAAAAUGCUGGUUCAAUCCAGAUGCUGUGUGUCAGCAUUGUAAGAAGAAGGGUCAUGUUGAGAGAGUCUGCAAGAGUAAGACCAAAUCGAGGCAGAAUCAGUUUCAACAGAUGAAAGCUGAGGCUCGAGUAGCUAAGGAGGACAGUGACCAAGAGGAGCAAGUCUUUGCUGUGUCAUGCUCAGCUGCUCAGGAAAAGUCCUCAUCUGGUUGGCUUCUAGACAGUGGAUGUACCAACCACAUGACACCUGAUGCUGCAAUCUUCAAGUCUUUAGACAGAAGCUGUAGAACUAAAGUCAAGAUAGGAAAUGGUCAUUUUAUUCAAGCUGAAGGCAAGGGUGAUGUGCUGAUAUGCACCCUUACAGGUACCAAAGUGAUUUCAAAUGUGCUGUUGGUGCCUGAAAUUGACAGAAACCUGCUCAGCAUAGCUCAGUUGCUGGAAAAAGGUUAUUCAGUUGUGUUUAAAGACCACCAUUGCCAAAUCAGUGAUCCAAGUGGAUCCAAACUGAUGGCAGUCCCUAUGGCUGACAAGAGCUUUGUGGUUGACUGGACAAAAAAGGCAGACAUUGCCUACACAGCCACUUCAGAUGAAUCCAAGCUGUGGCAUCAAAGAUUGGGACAUGCCAACUUCAGAUCGAUGGCUCGAAUGGUCAGAGAGGACCUGGCUGAAAAUUUCAUCAACUCAGUUGACCAUGAUGAUGUAUGUGAUGUAUGUCAGCUAGGAAAGCAGGCCAGACUCCCAUUUCCCUCGAAUCAAGCCUGGAGAGCCUCUGAAAAACUCCAACUGGUGCAUACUGAUGUGUGUGGCCCUAUGAAGACUGAGUCAUUAAGUGGAAACAGGUAUUUCAUACUGUUCAUUGAUGAUUUCUCGAGAUAUUGCUGGAUUUACUUUUUAAAACAGAAAUCUGAAGUGGCCUCAGUGUUUUGGAAGUUCAAGACUGCUUCUGAGACUGAAACAGGCUGCAAGCUGAAGACCAUAAGGUCUGAUAAUGGGACUGAGUACACCUCAGCUCAGUUCCAAGCCUUCUGUGAUAAGGCAGGCAUCAAACAUCAACUUACCAACACAUAUACACCUCAGCAGAAUGGGGUAAGUGAAAGGAAGAAUAGGAGUUUGAUGGAUAUGGCCAGGUGCUUGAUGAUUCAGAAAAAUCUGCCUAAAGCACUAUGGGCAGAAGCAGUUAACACUGCAACAUACAUUCAAAAUAGACUUCCAACCAAGGCUUUGGAUCAAAAGACCCCAUUCGAGGCCUGGUUUAGCUUCAAGCCAUCAUUGGCUCAUCUGAAGGUCUUUGGAUGCAUCAGUUAUGCACAUGUACCUGCUGUUAAAAGGGACAAAUUGUCUGAAAGGGCUCGACCUGGUGUUUUGGUGGGGUAUAGCACUGUUAAGAAGGGCUAUAGGAUUUUAGAUCCUACAACAAACAAAGUAUCAAUAAGCAGGGAUGUGGUAUUUGAUGAGAGGUCAUGUUGGAACUGGGAAAGACAUGAACCUGAAGAAGUUUCUGAAGAACUUGCAGUAGACCAAGCUGAGCCAGAUCAAAAUGUCCCUGAAAUGGAUAUUGAUGAUGAACCAGUCAGAGGAACAAGGUCAUUGGCUGAGGUUUAUGAAAGGGCUCAUGUAGCCAUAGCUGAACCAAGCAACUUUGAAGAGGCUGAGGCUCAACAAGGGUGGAAGCAGGCAAUGGCUGAGGAGAUCAGCAUGAUUGAGAAGAACCAGACCUGGGAAUUGGUUGAAAGGCCAGUCAAAAGGAAAGUGAUUGGGGUGAAAUGGGUGUACAAAGCCAAGCAGAAUGCUGAUGGUACCUUGAACAAGUUAAAAGCAAGGCUAGUGGUCAAGGGGUUCAGUCAGAGGUAUGGCUUGGACUACUUGGAGACCUUUGCACCAGUGGCCAGGCUCGACACCAUCAGACUGCUGAUUGCCUUAGCAGCACAGCUCGAAUGGAAGAUUCAUCAACUUGAUGUGAAAUCAGCCUUUCUGAAUGGUUUCUUAGAUGAAGACAUCUAUGUUGAACAACCACAAGGGUUUGAAAUAGCUGGCAGAGAGCAUAUGGUCUACAAAUUGAAGAAGGCCCUAUAUGGCUUAAAACAGGCUCCAAGGGCCUGGUACAGCAGAAUCGAUGGCUACCUGACUGAUCUGGGAUUCAAUCGAAGCAAGAGUGAGCCAACACUGUAUGUCAAGAAGCAAGGGACACAAACACAACUCAUUGUGUCCCUAUAUGUUGAUGACCUGCUGGUGACAGGAGGAGAUCAAGCAGUGCUGGUUAGUUUCAAGACCAAGAUGCAGGAGGUGUUUGAAAUGUCUGAUCUUGGGGAGAUGUCCUAUUUUCUUGGAAUGGAGGUGACUCAAGCACAGAAUGGGAUAUUUUUAAGUCAGAAGAGCUUUGCCACAAAGAUUCUGACCAAGUUCUCCAUGCAAAACAGCAAACCAACUAAAACACCUGUUGCUGUUGGAGAAAAACUAUCGAGCCAAGGAGAUUUUGAGAAGGUAUGUGAAACUACCUACAGGAGUCUAGUUGGUUGUUUGCUAUACUUGACUGCCACUAGACCAGACAUAAUGUAUGCUGUAGGAUUGCUCUCAAAGUUCUUGCAUUGUUGCAAUGAGAAGCAUUUCCAGACUGCCAAGAGAGUGCUCAGAUAUGUCAAAGGCACUUUGGACUAUGGCUUAAGGUACAGCAGAAAAGGAAAUCUAAAUCUAGUUGGGUACACUGAUAGUGACUGGGCUGGAUCGAUAGAUGACAUGAAAAGCACCUCAGGGUAUGCUUUUAGACUUGGUUCAGCCAUGUUCUGCUGGAGCUCGAAGAAGCAAAGUCUGGUGGCACAAUCUACGGCUGAAGCAGAGUAUGUGGCAGCAGCAAGUGCUGUCAACCAAGCCAUUUGGCUUAGGAAAAUCCUGGCUGAUUUGAAUAUGGAUCAAAUGGAAGCAACAGAGAUCUUCUGUGACAAUCAAUCUGCAGUUGCAAUUGCUAAAAAUCCAGUGUUCCAUGGUAGAACAAAACAUUUCAGCAUCAAGUUACAUGUUGUUCGAGAAAUGGAGCAAGCUCAGGAAGUAAAGCUGAUCCACUGUAAUUCAGAGGAUCAACUUGCUGACAUUUUAACCAAAGCUCUUAGUGUCACAAGGUUUGAAUAUCUAAGAAAGAUGCUAGGUGUUUGCUCCAUGCAAACCAAGGAGGAGUGAUGAAGUUGGUUCAGCAUGCAGCAAACUCGACAGCAUGCAGGCCAUCAAGACCAAGUCAUGCAGGAGCUGCUGGAACGAGCUGAACUAUUCCUAUUUUGUUCAACUUGUAACCUUAAGUUAAUGUAAUGUACUUUAGUUCAUUUAGAACUAUGUUAGGUUUAUGAUUGAUGUAUUUUGAUGACAAUUAAGCUGUUAAGUCAGCUUUGUUUAAGUGUGCAAGCUUAGUUUUUCAAGUUUCAAUGUAUUAGUGGUGGUAGGUGAUGAUUAGGUAUCAUUAUGCAGAUUUUGACAAGCAAAUUGCUUGGUUUAUGUAUUGGCAUUAUGCCAUUGUUCAAUGUAUGAAUAGAAUCAGUUUUUGUUCAUCAAUUUCCUCUCCAUUUUCUUAGCUUUUUCUUUCUUUCUUUAACUCGAAAUUGUUUGUUUGCUCAGCAAGUUUUAAGGCUUGCUCGACAAGAUACUUGCUGAGUCUGCUUGAUUCUGUUCUUGCACCAACAGUAUACCUGUUUUUAUGGAAUCGGUGGAUUAUAUUUUCGACAGUCUUCUUCCCCAAGCGUAGUGAAUAGAGCACAAUUUUGUUCUUUUGGAUGGAAAAGAAUUUCUACAUUAAUUAGAUUUGGUUGACAGGCAAAUGAAUAGAUACACACAUUUUUUACGUGUUAUUAAGGAAGAAGACUAAGUCAAUCUACUUUGUAAUCUCAUCAAUCUUAAUUUUUUUAGUUGUUUAGGGAGUUCAAAUGAAAUACAAGAUUUUGCUAUAAAAAAAAAAAAGCAUCCAAUUUUAAGAAUGAAAAAUAUACGGUAAAAAGAAGACUAAUGGUUGUUGAUGAUUGUGAAAAAUACAAAAAUUAUUUGUUGCCUAUAAAUACCAUUCCUAUCCUUCAUCUUCCUCUACAAACAUAACAUGGCCUCCUAUCUCUUUCUCUGCCUAUUCCUCUUCUUUCCCCAUCUUUAUGCUUCUUUUUCUUCUUCAGGAUCUCACUCCUGCUCUUCGCUAAUCCAGUUCAAGAAUUCUUUUUCCAUCACUCAGACAGAUGUUGCUUCUUCUUAUUGCGAUGAUCAAUCUUAUCCCAAGACAGAUUCAUGGAAGGAGGGUACAGAUUGCUGCUCAUGGGAUGGGGUCACUUGUGACCACCUAAAUGCUCAUGUUAUUGUCCUUGACUUGAGUUGCAGUUGGCUAUAUGGCAACUUCCCUUCCAAUACCACUCUCUUCCUUCUUCCUCACCUUCAAAAACUCAACCUUGCCUACAAUGAUUUUAAUCUUUCCAAAAUUCCAUCCGAGUUCGGUCGGUUUAUAAGCCUAUUCUACCUCAACCUUUCCAAUACAGGGUUUGCAGGAGAAGUCCCAUCCCAAGUCUCCCACCUGUCAAAAUUGGUUUCACUUGAUCUCUCCUGUCGGGCUGAUGCACAAACAAUUGACAAACAUGCUCUGGAGGGACUUGUUCACAACCUAACCGAGGUCAGACAUCUGUUUUUGGAUGGAAUCAACAUGUCUUCUGUUAAUGCUCAUGUCUUCAUGAAUCUAUCCUCUUCUCUAAGGUCUCUCAGUCUUGCUUUUUGUGAUUUGCAAGGAAAAUUCCCAAAAAACAUUUUUGAUUUGCCAAACCUCAAUCUCCUCAACUUGGGAGGCAACCAAAACCUCAAUCUUGAUCCUUUGAAGUUCAAUCGGAGCAGCAAUCUUGAACAUUUGGAUCUGUCGUGGAUGUCCUCCUCUACAGAAAUUGAUUCAGUUGAUAAUCUACAGGCCUUAAAGUACUUAGAUCUAUCAGGAAAUUCUUUCUUUCAAGGAUUGUCUGUCUCAAUCACAAAUUUAUCAUCUUUGGAGUACUUGAUUCUUAGAGGCGCAAAUGUUUUUGGAGGAUUGCCUGACUUGACAGGGAAUCUUGUGUCCUUGAAGUUUUUAGAUCUCUCCCAGUCCAACUUAUCAGGACCGGUUCCAAGAUCACUGGGAACCUCUUGCAACUCACUCAUUUAGACUUGUCGCAGAACCAAUUGAGUGGACAAAUUCCAAGAUUAUUGGGGAACCUCUUUCAACUCACUCAUUUAGACUUGUCGUGGAACCAAUUGAGUGGACAAAUUCCAAGAUCAUUGGGGAACCUCUUGCAACUCACUCAUUUAGAUUUGUCGAUGAACCAAUUGAGUGGACAAAUUCCAAGAUCAUUGGGGAUCAUUGGGGAACAUCUUGCAACUCACUCAUUUACUUGUCGGUGAACCAAUUGAGUGGACAAAUUCCAAGAUCAUUGGGGAACCUCUUGCAACUCACUCAUUUAGACUUGUCGGUGAACCAAUUGAGUGGACAAAUUCCAAGAUCAUUGGGGAACCAAUUGAGUGGACAAAUUCCAAGAUCAUUGGGGAAC